rnacentral:lncRNA from 1 species
ACGUAUUUGUUUUUAUUUUUCUCGAUUUAGUUCAGAUUGUUCAGAUUCUUAUGAUUUCGAUUACGUGUUUAAUUAUUAUAUGUUGAAUUUUGUGUCAAACUUUGUAUUGAUGUGUUAGGGUUAGGGUUUAUUCAAAUUUAGUAUCUUCAAUGUAUCCAAUUCUGAUUCUAUAUUGAAGAAAGCUCAACAUUUUUUUUUUUUUUUUUUUUUUUUGGUUUUGGCAUUCAUUAGUAAGUUACUAUAUAACCAAAAACCAUUAAUUUGCUUUAAAACUGUAACACUCCUUGUGAUAUUAUUUUGCGCGUUUUUUUUUUUUCUUUGAAAUAUCAAUUGGUAUGCCUCAAAAUGUACUCUUCCUUCGGCGCACCAUUCCAUUAUGGGUGUGUUAAUGCUUAACACAAUUCACGAAAAAGGUUAUGAAGACUUGCAAUAUAGGGGUUAGAGAUAAGUUUACUGUAGUAUAUAAAUGAUCAAGUUUUUGAAAUUGGAUAAUAUAUGCUUGUACUUUCUUUUCUUUCUUUUUUUAUCAGAACAAAAAAGGGAGAAGAAGAGUGAGAAAGAGCAAUAGAAGAUGCUUCAAAUUCGUCUCAGCAACAAAGGUUCAGUUUCAGAAGCCACGGGAGGGGGGAAAACCUUGCCAGUUGAAACUGUAACAGUGGCAUGCCCUGACCACCUUGUUCUUGCUGAUCUUCCUGUUGCAAAAAGCAUUGGCACCACAAACACUGCUUCACUUGUUAAGAUUGUUGGCCGUAGGUCCCGCCGUCAUCUUGGUGAAAGGGUCCAUUUCUGCGUUCGCUGUGAUUUUCCCAUUGCUAUCUAUGGGCGCCUGGUAAAUAAAUAUUUUUUAUUGCUCCAUUGUUAAUCUAUGAAAUUUUCACUACAAUAAAUAUUAGUUCCUAUAAAGGCAAUUAAAUUGCAUAUCACUAUCUCUGUUCUGUUAGUCUCCCCAUGCUUUUGGGGAAGCUUCAAUUUGGACAAUUCUUUGAACUUGGAUUGUUAUAUGGUUCUGCUUGGUUCAAAGCAUAAGUGUCCAGAGCAUAUCCUGAUUUCUUCUUAUAAUAACUGGUUCUGAAGAGUUAACAUGUGGGCAUUUUCUAGUGUAAUUUGACCCCAAAGUAUGUUAUUAAUAAUAACUCAGUAAGAAAAAUAAAAUAUGGAAGUAGGUUGUGGACUCAAUCUAGAAUAAAGUUAGAAACCUGCAUUAGUUUGGGAAAUAGGAGGAAGAAAGUGAACAAUAGUGAUAAGUAGAUCUUCAAGUGUAUUUUGUUUUAUUCUUAUGCAAUUUACAAAAAUGCAUUGCAUCUCACCAUGCGAUUUCUCUUUCCAUGAAUCCAUUUUCUUCCCCUCCCUAUAUGAGUGGGAUUUUUUUUUUUUUUUUUUUGUAUACUCAGAUCUUACCUUGUUUCACAUUUUCUAGGUAUAUUUCUUCAGUUUACUAUUAUUGAUUUUUGUAGUAUAACAAUUUCAAGUACUUGCAGAGUCCUUGCGAGCAUGCCUUCUGUUUGGACUGUGCUAGGAGUGAUUCUAGCUGUUAUCUGUAAGUUUUUAAAUUCUCUCUGGAACUUUAUUGUUAAUAUCAGUUAUAGGAGAGAGGUGUAAUUUCUUUUAUUGAUAUUGUUAUCGUUAGUUCUUUAUGUUGGUGUUAUUCAAAUAAAGGGGUGCCAGUGAUAUACUCUUUGACACACGUAAUAAUUUUAGAAAUUAAGGUGUUCAAUAGAAGAUCUUCUAGUGUUUUCAAAGUCCUAUUGUGUUUUAUGUUUGAGGAAGUCUACUUCUUCCGAAGAUUUGAUGCUAGGUUGAUAUGUUGUGAGAUUGCUUAGGGUUUGUUUUAUAUGUUGAUUUGUAUUAUAGAAAAGUUUAUAGAACCUUGAAAGUGUUUUGGUUCAUUCAAUCAUUGAAAGGAACAAGAUUUUUUUUUUUCUAAGACAGAAUGACAGAUUAUGUUGAUGUAGUUCAGCCUUAAAGGCCCUUUUUUUAAUUUUGCAUAGUGUAUGUUGAAUGAUUGGAGUCAAUGUUAUACCUAACACAAUUAGCUCAAAGCGUGCAAACUUUUACAAUCAAAUGGUAUAAUACAGACACUGGUGGAAAAGAUUUUGAAUUGAAUGACCUGAAAUCAAAUCAACAUUUAAACUUUUUAGGUGAGAGAGACCUAUCGUGCUUUUUACGCAUCGUAAGGUAGCCACAAUUAGCUCAACUAGUAACGUUUUUAACUCAUUUGGAUUCAGAGAUUGUAUAAGUGGCCUCUAGAAUGACAUGUAGAUUCCAGAUCCAGAAGAAAGUGUAUUGUGUUAUCUUCAGAUAAAAUGUUUUUGUCUUGAUUUCCAAAGUAGUAUUGCCUAUGCUAUGUGGGAAUGACACACUCAUUUUCACAUGACAGCAUCAAUUCCAGUUUCAGAAAUUGUGUGCCUGCUUUUAAAUAUCCGCAAUGGUAGGCACUAUAAAGUAAAUGAAUGACUAAACUUUAACUUGUAUAAUUUGAUACAGAUGUGACGAGCGCAUUCAAAAAAUCCAGACAAUCAAAAUGAUGGAAGGGAUAUUCAUCUGUGCAGCCCCACACUGUCUCAAGUCCUUUCUGAAAAAGUCUGAAUUUGAAACUCACAUUCAUGAGAGCCAUGCUGACCUUCUUCACCCCAAUUUGGUUAAAGAAGAUGGCAAUGAGUCGGAUGCUUUUAAUGUGACAAGGCCCUCAUCCACCGAGGCACACGCUAAACAAUCUACUGCUGCAGAUACCUCCACUGCUCGUAGUCUGCCAAGGGCGGGUUUGUCACCCAGUUCUAAUUCUCAACCCCAUGAUCUUGAUGACAAAGCUCGUCACAACCAAUCUAGAGAUCAGCCAUCUGCCAAGUCUUCCAUUAUACAGCCAUUUAUGGAAGACACCCAAACUAUCAACCCGAACUACAGCAAGAAAACAACCCACACCAUGUUUUUGAUAGGCCAGGGCCUUAUAAUCGUUUCCAUAACCAACAAAAUAUCGACAUGCAAGCUGCUGCCUUUCAGCGGAGAGAUUCUGACCGGGUCCCUGACAAACAGCAAGGGGUUGUAUCUGAGGUUCCAUUCUCAGAAUACCCUCCACAGUCCCACCAACCUCCUACUUUUGUAGUACCACUUAACUCAAACCAAGGACUGACUCCCGCAUUUAACAUGCCCCCCUUCCCUGUUGAGGUACUUCAACCUUUCUACAAUGCUCAAUUAGAGACUACACGACCAGAUAUGCAAUGGGAAAGUCCAGCUGGAGGUCACGCUUUCACAGACAGUAAUCCUCGACCUUGGAAUUUGGGUGCUGGUAUGCCUUUUGAACAAAUGCCUGCAAGUCAAGGAAUUUCAGAAAAUUAUGCAAACCAAUCAGAUGCUCAAGGUAGAGCCACUUAUUUCCAAGGUGAUUACGGGUGAGGGCCAGGGGCUGCGCCCCUAAAUCCUCUUAUGCCUCCUAUGGGUAGUAGGGGAUUAGAACCUUUGCAAGGCAGCAAUGCUUCAGAUAACAAGUAUGGGCAAGGCACAUCAACACCACAGCCAAGGGCACCACCACCUGCCCGCCACCAUUCACAAUUCCAACGAGGCAACUUUCCUCACCACGCCGAUGCUGGUUGGGAAGGUUAGAGCUAUGGGUGGCUAAAUGAAAGCACGACGGCUUGGGGAUAUCCAUGUACAUGAAUUUUUCCGAACCUUUACCAUGGUAUCUGUUGUGUUUUUCUUAGUUUGUGUAUUAGUAUGGGUAUUUGUAGAAGUUACAACAGCACAAUAUCAGUAUUCUAGUUUUUCUGUUUAUUUUUUUGAUAGGGCAUGGAAGAAAUAUUAAUUUGCCAACAAAUUCAAUCUUUUUAUUCAGUAGCAUAACAGGAUAAUCCCUCUAUUCAUCAGUGAAAAAAGGAUAAUCCUUAGUGAUUCCUUGCACACAAUUGUGGAUUUAUCUAACUUUUUUUUGAAGAAGUUGAAAUUUAUUAAUCAAUCAUCACCAAAAGAUACACAUACUGGUCAGCAUGCAGUUUCUACUGCAUGACCAGCUCAUCCCAGUGGGUAAUCUACUUCAUACAGAAUGACUCCCCAACCCAUUAGCAUAAAAAAUAUACAAUGAAAACCAGACAACAGUAGCAGUUAGGAUAUCUACUGAGCCUGUAGUUUGAGGAAAGCUGCAGUCAUAGAAAUGCCUCAAAACUCCCAAAGGUGGAAGUGGUUCAACAUUAAGCAUCUAAUGCUAGGACAAUGUUACUCGAGCUCUAUUUAUACCACCCAUGGAAAAUAUAAUAUUAUAACAUUAACAUAAAUACUUGAAAAAAAAAUUGGCAAAUGGAGAUCAGGGGAACAUGCACUGAACAUGUCAACCCUUUAUGUUGUAAGUUGUAACUGUGGUGUAAUCCAUAUAAGUGAAGGUGAUGUCAUGAAGCCCAGGAAGCAGAAAUAAUGUACUGCUUCAAAAUGUACACGACUUCCUUCCCAAGGAGCAUUUGGGGGAUUUUCAAUUUUACACCGAGGGCAUAUAAUCCUUCUGAUUACAAUGAAUCUAACUAAUCCCCACAUUUAUUAUUUGGGUUUUCUUACAAAACUCCUAAAUAUACAACACACUCGAGCGAAUUGUGACGAUGGUAUACAACUGGCCGUACAAAACUGAUAAGUUAUUUGCUGGUAGUAAUUUAUUGCGCGCUCCUUUAGUUUUGGCAAGACUCAAGAGUAUCAUCCUUCUUCCAUGUCUUCAAAACUGAUUGUGUUUACAUCAGGGACAUAACCUUCUUCAACCAUUAUAGCAGCCAAAUCUAAUAGACUUGUAUAUACUUCCUCCAUCUCCUGCUUUGGCAGGUUAUCAACUGCAAAAGUGUAAAUGUUGUUCCCGAUUUCAAUCCAACUACCACCGGGUGAUUUCUUGACCCCACGAGCAGUCAUCAAUUUUCUCACUCGAUCAACAUCAUUCCAUCUGCCUGCCUUGGCAUAGAUAUUUGACAAUACCACAUAAUUACCUGGGUUGUCAGGCUGUAGUUCUAUGAGACAGUUUGCUGCAUACUCGGCCAUCUCUACAUUCCCAUGGGUCUUGCAGGCCGAAAGAAGAGCACCCCAGAGGCUUGCAGUGGGUUGUAGUGGCAUCUGAACAAUGAAAUCUCUAACAUCCUUAAAUUGCCCCCCACGUCCAAGGAUAUCAACCAUGCAAGAGUAGUGCUUUCCACUAGGAAUGAUCCCAUAUUUUGACUCCAUGCUAUUAAAUUGUUUCCACCCCUCACUGACUAGUCCAGCAUGACUACAUGCACUGAGAACCCCUAUGAAUGUAACGCUGUCAGGGAUUUCUCCUGCACACAACAUCUGAUCAAAUAAGGCAAGUGCAGCUUUGGCGUUCCCAUAAACUGCAAAUCCCUGAAUCAUUGUGUUCCAGGAAACAACAUCUCGUUGAGGCAGUCUACUAAACAACUGCUCGGCAUACUUCAGGCAUCCACAUUUGAAAUACAUGUCUACGAGGGCAUUGGUGACCAUUAAGUCUUCAUCAUCAAGUCCAUUUCUUACGGUGUAACCAUGAAUUGAUUUUCCAUGUGAUAAGGUGGCCGACUGUGCACAGGCUGGUAGGAUGCUGGCAAUAGUGAUAGAAUUGGGUCUCAAUCCUUCCAGUUGAAGUUUACGGAAAUGAUUUAGACUUUCAUCCACCAACCCAUUAUGUGCAUAACCUGAAACCAUUGUAGUCCAGGUAAUUAUGUUGCCUGCUACCCCAGCUUUUUUCAUUUCAUAGAAUGUUUUUGAAGCUUCGUUGACAAAUUUGUUCUUUGCAAGAACUGAAAUAAUUGUGUUCCAUGACACCAUAUCCUUACUAUCCAUUGAUUCAAAGAGAUUGACUGCAUAAGCUACAUCUCCACAAUUACCGUACAUAUUUAUAAAGGCAGUGCAGACAAAUUUGCUCAUCUCACCUUCAUUUCUUAGAAACGUGCAGUGCAGCUCCUUCCCUGUCAUUGAACAGGUAUUAUAUUGUAUUAAUGGAAUGAUGAUAUCAAAACUUCUGAGAUUGGGGUUCUGGUUUGUCCAUAUCAUAUCACUAUACAUCUGCAGAGCUGAGUUAAAGUCGCCAAUAUCAACAAAUCCAGCAAUUACUGUGUUCCAGCUGAGUAUAUUGGGUUUAAUCCCAGCCUUCCGCAUCGAAUGAAACAGUUCUAAUGCUUUGUUUGUAUGCCUGUUAUAAGCAUGGCAUUCAAUAAUAGCAUUCCAGCAAUCCAAAUCUUUUGCGUUGAGGGAGUUAAAAACCUCUUGUGCAGCUUCAGUAUCAGAACAUUUGGAGUACAUUCGUAUGAGGGCAGCUACGACAGAAUUGUCUGACAUAUAUCCUUUUUUGUUUAAGUACCUGUGGAGUUCGUUGGCCUGUUUGAUGUCGUCAAUAUGUUCACACACGUGAUCUAAUAAAUUCGCAGAUACUAUACUGGAAGCCAAACCUACAUAUUCCAAAUGUUGAAUCAGAUCAAGAACACUUCUGCUUUGAAGAUACAGAGGUGUAAUAUACUCAAAUGUUAUUUUGUUUGGAAUUAUGCCAUUCAUGAGCAUUCCUUCGAACAAUUCCAUUGCCUCAUCAACAAACCCGAGUUGAAAAUAUCCCUUGAUCAUUAUAUUCCAACUCACAACAUCCCUUCCUCUCACUCUAUCAAAGAUAAGCCGGCCAUACCCCAAUCCACCACAAUUUGCAUACAUAUCAAUAAGGGAAGUACCACAAUAUUUAUCAUAACCACAACCAUAUGCUAUAGCCAAUCCAUGAAUCUGUUUUGCCAUGUCCAAACAACAUGAACCAGAAAAUAGAGGGAAAAUUGCAGAAAAGGUAGCUGACUGAGGUUUAACCUCAGAACGCAUCAUUUCCUUGAAGAGUUCCAAUGCUUCUUGUCCACAACCAAAUUGCACAUACCCAACCAGCAUUGUCGUCCAGGUAAAAAUAUCUUUAACAUCACAUUCAUAAAAAACCCUUUCGGCAUCCCAUAAACUCCCACAUUUCGCAUACAUAUCUACAAGGGAAUUCAUUAUAAAUAAAUCCCAUUGAAAUCCACUAGUAAUAAUAUCAGCAUGAACUCGGCGACCACUCCUUAAAUUCUUCAUCCCUGCGCAUGACUUCAAAACAAUAGGGUAAAGAAAAUUAUCCGCUUUGAUUCCCUCCAAAAUCAUUUUUUCAUAAAAAUCAACUGCUUUAGCCAAAUCACCAUUGUUUGAAUAAACCCCAAUAAUUGCUGUCCAAGAGAAUAAAUUUCUCUCACACAUUUCAUCAAACACUUUCUGCGCAAGUUCUGACUCGCCACUUUUUGAAUACAUCAUCACUAUAUUGUUCUGUAAAACCAAAUUGGGUUGAACCCCAUUCUUAAUUAUAUGUUCAUGAAUCUCUCUGCCUUUCCCAAAAGCUUUGAACUUUAUGCAAGAACGAAUAAGGGGUAGAUAAGAAUCGGAAUCCAACUGAUAAGAAUUGAGGUUUGGGAUUUGGCGAAGAAUUCGAAUAGCUUCGUCGAUACGACCUAGUAUUGAAAGCUGAGAAAGCUCUUUUGCAAGAGAUGAUUGUGAGUGUUGUUGCCAUGUUGAAUAGGUUCUGUGUAGAGAUUUCAAGAACCCUUGCAUGUGUUAUCAAAUGAGCAGAGUGAAGGGUAAAGUUGUAAACUUUGAAAAAUAAAAUGAGGUUUGUUUGUUUGUUUUCCCUGUUUGCGGGCUUGCGUAAGCUUUAUCGUUCCAGUGGUUCGCGAGAAUAUUUAUCUAUCUAACAACAAAUUAAGAAAUCAUACCACGUGGAUAUAUGGUCAGAAUAGAGUUUUAGAGCUACGUGGACAUACCAUCAUGGGCUGGGCUUUAUUAGUUAUGAGUGUGCAAAAGAUGCAAAACUCAUUUUCUUUUUCCGGUUCAUACAACAUUUUGGCUGUGCUUGUUUGCACGUAAUUUUGAGGGAAAAUAUUUUGAAAAUAUUUUGCUAAUUUUGUUUUGCGAUUUAUUUACAAAAAUUAUAUCUAAACAUGCUUGUUUAGUUUGGGCUAAAAAUUCGGAAAUCAAGAUAAAAAGAGGAGAGAGAAAGAGAGAGAGGAGAGAGAAAGAAAGAAGAGCACGUGAUUCCAAAGAUUCCGGUAUUUUCAAAGCAGCAAAAAAUGUUGAGCUGUUUUUACAUUUAAGAAAAUAAUUCCGGUAGGGCCCACUAUAAAUGAUAACUACCAAGCACCAUGCAAAUCUGUAAAACUUUCUAAAAUCCAACGUGUCACGAUUUUCCGGGAGAUUUCCAUGCAACCAAGCACAGCCUUUAAACCAAAACAAGUUGUUGAACCCGUGCUACGCACCGGGAUUUGUGUUAUUCAAUAAAAUGGAAAAUCACCAAACUUUUUUUAAUACCCUUCUCAACCUAAAUUUGUAGAGAGUUUAUAAUGAUUUUAUAAGUGAUUUGUUGAACCGAGUUUUUUUUAGUGCCAUUCUUAACCUAAAUUUGUAGAGAUUUAUAAUUAAUAUUUUUUGUAUUUAGUAUGGUUUUUAUAUAAGAAUUAAGGAUUUUAAAUAGACGAAGAAUUUAGUAGGAAAAAAAGAUUUACAAUUAAGUUCUAAAGGGUUUUAAGGUUUCUAGAAAUCUUUGUUGACAUGGAAGGUGGAUUUCCUUUUUAAUUUGGGCUCUCACCAAAGUUAAGCAAAUCUCUCGUAAAGUAAAGUGUCAUGUGGCAUUUGAUGUCUACAACUGGGCUUCAAUUGGGCUUAAAGUCGGACUUAAGUUCUAUUCUCAAGUUGUUGAGAACACGCCAUGUGGCACUUGUUAGGCUCCACUAUUAUAUAGUAUAUAGAUUUCCACUGAUUGGUUAAUUUUGAGUUCAUAAAUCUCUGGAAAUAAUAUAAGUGUAUGAAAAUCACACAUUUUCCAAUUUCUAACAUUACAUAUAGUCCUAUACUAGUAUACUAGUUCACCUUGAGAAUCAUAUUAUCUCAUAAUGUCACUACAAUCCUACUUUGAUUAGAUUUAUUAUCACUAACAGAUUAACUACCCUCCCAUAAGUGAUGGUUAAUCACUUGUGGCGAUUCUUUGAACCUUCUCGUUACUUUUUAAUAAAAUUCUACUUAUUAAAAAAAAAAAAAACUACCCGCCCAAUCACUCCAUGGCCAUGUAGUCUGCUAUCCAACCUCCAAUUAUAUUCGCCUCAGCAUCUCGCUGCUCGACUAACCAGUUUGGAUCCUUUGGGGAUGGAUGAAGGAUGUCUAAACAAUGUGUUCCUGGAAAACAACAUAAUGUUGUUGUCUAUGUUAGUAAAUUAAAUAACAUAUAUCACAUAAAGAGAAAAAAAAAAUCUAUUCUUUUAGAAACUUUUAAGACUGAACACAGGAGAUUGAGAUUUCUCGAACUCGAAUUAAACAAACUCUAAUAUUUUAUUUUAUUUUUGUUAAAGGAGGACUAAUUAAUCUAUUCUUUCUGCUAUUAUAAAGCUGAAUGAAAUUCAGGGGUAUUUGAGUAUUUCUCAAUCGAUGGGAAUUGAGCUUUAGUAUUUUUAUCACAAAUCUAACUAUAAUACCCUUUGAGUCAUGGUUUUUUAGUAAUUUAACAUAAUACCUUUUAAGUAAUAGUUUUCAUAAUUUAAUAUAUUAAUAUUUAUAGGUUGGAUUUUUUUUCAAAAACAAGAGGUCCAAUAAUUAAAAAAAUAAUCAAAUUAUCAAAUAAAAUUCAGAAGUAUAUUGAGCUUUAGACGACUAUUUAAAAAAAAAAGAGCUGGCCUUUAGAAUUUCGUAUCACAAAUCUAACUAUAAUACUCUUUAAGUAAUGAUUUUAUCGUAAUUUAACAUAUUAUUAUUUAAGGGUUCUAUUUUUAUUUAUGAACAAGAGGCCCAAUAAUUAAUAAUUAAAAAGAUAAUCAAAUAUUAUGACAAUUCAUUAAAAAAAAAAAAAUUAUAUGGGAAUUAACAAUUUUAAAUCAACAAAAAUAUCCUACAAAUGUAAAGGUAAUUUACAAUUAAUACAAAUCAACCUUUACAAAUGUAUACAAAUUUAAUAAAUUUGAUAAUAUAUAAUUAUUGGUUUUAGAAGUAAUUCUUUUAUUAAAGUUAAUAAAUUAGUUUAAUUUAUAAUUAUAACUUAAAACUCGAAUGAUAACCAUAUAUAGAUAAAUUAAAAUUAACCUGUGCGUGGCACCUGCUAACACACUAGUAUGACAGGUAAAGGAAAGUAGGAAACAUACCCUCUUUUGUUGUUAAAGCCACAAUACUCCUUGAGAUAUUAUGUAGCACUCUGCAUUUGUGAUCACAAUAAAAUAUAUUAAAAGACGAAAUCAAUUGUAUUUUGAAAAUUUAAUUCAAAGUAACUAACAAUAAUAGUAAUUUGUCCUAUGUGCACUUCCCCUGUUAAAACUCUUAAGCAUAUGUUAAUUGAGUGUCCUUACACUCAGGCAGUUUGGUUCCUCUGCAAGUGGAAUUUCAGACUUGUGCACUUCCAAAACCUCACUGUCACCCAAUGGAUGAACCUCUGGUUUGCCCCUGACCAAAGCUGGCUCAUAGAUAAAAGUAUUUGGUCUUCUCAAUGUGUUAUCACUAUUUGGAAUAUAUGGAAAGCUAAGUGCAACAAAAUUUUCAAAAACACACAUACACCUGCAGUUUUACUAGCAUUCCAGAUUGAUAGGGAAGUCGACAGAUACAAUGGACAUUCUAACCCAUCUGUUAAUCAACAAAGAAAAGAUGAAACCUCUAUCUGGAUUCCCCCUGAAAAAAAACAGUCUGAAGAUCAAUGUGGAGAUCAAGUUCACAUCAACAAAUGAACUUAUUGGCAUUGGGUUAAUCAUUAGAAACUCUAUGGGAAGUCUACUGUAUGCAGGUUCAGAAUCCAGGAAUGCGAGCAAUUCAGAGGAGGCAGAAUGUUAUGGUAUUUUGGCAGCCAUCCACAAAGCCAAAGAGCAACAACUCACAACAAGAAUUGUGGUGGAAUCUGACCAUCAAAGUGCAAUUCUAUAUCUUCAGGGAAAGCCUUGCAACCUCUCCUGGACUGCGCAAAGUAUUUUGGAUGAAGUGAAGUCCCAGUUUGCGUUUUUUGAUAAUAUUAGUACUAGCUUUUGUAAUAGAUCUGGUAAUGUAAGUUUGGCUGCUCAUCUCAUAACACAAAAUGCUAAUGUAAGUUGUCAUGGUACUACUUCUAUCUGUGUCCCCCCCCCAUUCUUGGUUAGCUAAUCAAGUUCUAAAGGAUACAUUAUUUUGUAUCAGUAGUUCUGUUGUAACUGAAUAACUUUUAUAUAUAUAUACAAUGAUUAUUAAAAAAAAAAAAAAAAAAAAACAAUGAAAGUAAUUGCUAGUUUGCUACAUACCCUCCACUACUGUAAGGAUCUUUUAGCCAGGACUUGUUUUAUAUCCUGCAAUGAUCAUAUCAAGAGCUUAUGGGAUUAGUACUAAGGUAGGUUAUUUAUAUUGUUUUGUGAUCUUUUAGGUUGUGGUAGAAACUUACUUUACCGCCAUAUUCAUUAGUAACCCAGUGAGGCCUUGGUUCAACACCAUAAACUUUGGUGCAAGAUGUCGAGAACUCUGUGAGAUUGAAUGGAGAAUACUGAAACAUGGUCGAUUGCUUGUCAUGACCGAUGGGCAUCACCAUCUCGGUACACGUCUACAACACAAUUUGUAAAUAUAUCAAUUAAUUACAAUAACUUAAUGAUGAUAUGACAAUCUAAAAGAAAAUUAACUUACCUGCCACGCCCAACCAUCAUGAUAUGAAGCAGUGAAACUUGAUGUAUUAUGGCAAGAUACAUUUCCCAUCAACGACCCAACAGCUGCAUAUACCCUCCCAAGAAUACUGGUUCCUUUUGGUGCUCUAUCUAUAGCGGUACAAAUUUGAUUGAGAUGGUAAGUUGGAGCCCUAUUGUAUUGAGCUGCAUAGCAAUACAAAUCAUCCAAAUAGUCCUUAAGCUCUGAAGAUUUGUUUAGAGGCCUACAGCAGUACAUAAGUCACGCAUGUUAUAUAUGUAGCAAAAUUACAACUUAAAGCUUGAAUAAAUCACACAUGUUAUAUAUGUAGCAAAAUCCAUAUAUUAAGACAAUGUAAAGAUUAUUACGAGCAAGUAUUGAAAGUCUGGCUAAGGAUGGAAAGCCCGUUCAUGUUGUUUGCAACUUGGUCGAUUUUUGACCAUGAUUUCUUUAUGGUUUUAUAGCAACUGUCACUGACAUCCUAUACCAUCAAAGACAAGAGAAUUGGUGCAAAAUGUAUUUUGAUUAUAACAAUUGAAAAUUUAAACUAGAACGGACUUUGAGCUAAAAAUUGAACUCAUACAUACUUUGAGAUCUUUGGUUACAAUAGCAUAAUAUCCAUCAUUUGGUUCAAUUCCAUCGAAGUACAAAAUCGGUGCAGAUGACGCUAGUGCACCCACAGCCACAUGUGGGUAUUUAAGACGAAACCAUGUUGCUAGCACUAUAUAAAACGAUACAUGAUUAAGAUGCCGUGCUAAAAUAAAUUAACAAAUAAAUUACUGGUAAAAUAUAUAAAUCUUACUGCCACCAUAAGACCCUCCAAUGACAACAGCAGGACAUCUUUCAGCAGACAUAUUCUUCUUGACGUGCAGAAUCACUUCUACAUAAUCAGCUAAGGCUUGAGCAGAAUUGAGAUACCCAAGCACGCUAGCAUCCUGGAAAGCCUUAUCUUCUGACCCAAAUGGAAUUGAAUCACCAUAAUAACGAUGCUGUAAAAUAUUUUCAUCAAUUAGUAUGCAUAGGAUAUAGUAUACAUGAUUUGGAACAUAUUUACAAAGUAACUUUUCCCUGGCUUGAUAAGAAGAAAAUUAUUGGUCAUGCAUCUAAUGUAUAGCCGAUAAAUGACACCAUCUCUAAUGUAUAAUGCAAUUCAAUAAUAUGAGAGCAAUAUUUAUAGUUGCACUGAAAUGCUUUCGUUGAACUUAAUUACCUCUAUAGCUACCAAGAGGCCAUUAAAUCGAGCCGCCAACCCGUUAUCAGGGGCAUAAUUGCCCAUAGCUGACUCUGCGCCAAGAUGAACAAAUAUUGGGGCACUAUUGUUUGCCCCACCCCAGUAGCUAUAGUUGAUAAUGUAUUUUUGCUUGAAAGUAAGGUAACUAUCUGGCCGAUAGCUGAAAUGAUCAAGUGUUUGUUUGUAGAAGAAGAUCUUUGAGUUCUUCAUCGGUGAGGAAGCUUCUUCAAUGUUGACAUGCUUUGCAAUGUAUCUUUCAACUAGCCUUGCAGUAGUUUUACCUUCAGACACACAAGCCAAAAAAACCAUACAGAGCCAUGGUUGCCAAGAAGAAAUCAUCUCUUGCAAUAAAAAAACUCUGGAAGUAGUUUAUUGAAUAAGCUUUAAUUGGAAGAUGGAAUCAGGGUUUUAAAGUGUUAUUUAUAAAGGUUCUAACAUCUAAGGUUGUUUGAGGUAUGCUGAUCGAGAUGAUGAAGAUCAAAUUAGGCUUGCAUAGUGCAUUAAGUACGUGAUUUACCUUUUGUGUUUGAUGGAGAUAUCAAAUUAAGAAUUUUAUCUGUUGUACAAACAAAUAAACACAUUAAAUUGCUAGGUUGAUAUAUGUAAAUCAUGCAACUAUUGGUGAAAAGAUUAGUGGUUGCGUCCAGAACAGCUGAGUUCGUUACCAUUUUUAGUCAUCAUAACUUAAAGCAGCAACUUUUUAUCCAAACCGUAAGACAUUAUUAACAUUUUUUUUAUGUGCUUUUAAUUGUCUUUAUUUGUUUGAUAAGUUGCACAAAGUCUAAAGCUGAAAAUAGCUGAGAUGUCAAUCUCUGUACGUAUAUUGUUGCAAAUUUGUAACAAAUAGCAUAGAAAACAAACUGCAUUACACUGUAAUAAAGUGUAAACUGGAACUGAAAGGUAACUGAUUUCAACAUGCAUCCAAACUUGACGGGGUCCAUCACUACAUAAUUUUAUUUGUUGCAUAUGUUUUGCUGCACUAACACUAGGAAAUGAUUAGACAUGUAGCAACUACUUGAUCUGUAAUUGAUAUUACUUGAGCUUUUAGGCUUAAUGCAUGGAAAUACUUUAGCAUAAACUCUAUAUCAGAAUCUGAGUGUACAACAUGACCCGAGUCACCAUAUAUGGAUUAUCCUUGUCAAAAAUCCAGAUCCCACACAUUUCUUUAUUUCUUAUCGUAUCAUUAAUUUAUUAUCAGUAUGAUCGAUCAUCUUGAGAGUUUUUUUUUUUAACCUAGACUAGACAGAUACAUAAACCUUUUUAUUCAUUCAUGUUUAAUGUGCCCCUCCCCUCCUCUUGUACCUAAAAACAUAGACUAAAGGUACUAAUCAACAUCCUACGCAAAGGCAUAUCUUAUCAUCCUGCCAACUAACCUGGUAAUUGAAUUUGAGUUUCUUCCUAUAUUGAUCAAUUGCUCAUGCUUGAUUUUAUGGUUCUUCUUAUAUUGAUUGCUUUUUUUUAAUUGAAAUUGAUUGGGUUUAGUUCAUAACAAUUACCAAGCAACUUUGGGGGUGCUCAAGGGUUUAAGCAACUUCUAGAUUUACAAUUGAAUUUUAUUUAUGUAGACAAUUGAAUUUCAUUUUUGUAAAUUUCCCACAAAAAAACUCCAUUGCCACUGAUAUCCUAUACAUAAUUAAUGGACUGAUGGAAGCCCCAUGAUUGGUCAGUGCCCAUGACCCCAUGAUGAUCACUGCAUUCUAAGUUCAGACUUUCAUCACUUUGACACUACCAGUAAUCAGUGGUUUUUUAUUGAUUCAAUUCAAUUUCUCCCAGUCGUAGUCAAAGGACCAUUUUGAUUGCAAUUCAUACAGACUCAAAGAAUGUGUUUUCAUAAUCUUUUGUCAACUAUGUUGUCCUGCUAAUUGCUUAUGUAUGUUUUUUAGGUUGUUUUUGUUGAUUGUAUCGUCAACUAUGUAUGUUUUUGUUGUUGUUCAUUGAAAAACCCACUUUGGGUUACAACUUCGUAAAACAACUCAUUAACCAACCUAUAAUUCAAUAGGGGUGGGCAAAAAACCGGAAAACCGAAUUAAAAUCGGAAUCGAACCGGGUCAAAAUCGGUCAAAACUGCGUUGACCAGGAACCGGUCAAAUCGAACUGGAACUGGAACCGAACCGAGUAUAUACAGUCCAGUUUCAGUUCCUACUCUAAUAUUUCGGUUCGAACCGAACCGAACCGAAAAUAUAUAUAUAUUAAUUUUUUUUAUUUAUAUAUAUACGUUAUAUAUGUUUUUUUUUUAUUAAUGUUAGAUUAUAUUCAACUAUUCAUUAGAUUACACACAAAAAAAAAACCGAAGUUAUUAAAGCCCCAAACACAAAAGCCCAUAAUAAAGCCCAAACCGAAAACCAAACCGAACCGAUUUGGUCCAAUCCAGUUUUAAUAAUAUUUUUCGGUUUUUAAAACCAAACUGAACCAAACCAACUUGUACGGUUCGGUUUCAGUUUAAUGGUAAAAUGGAACCGAACCGAACUAUGCCCACCCCUAUAAUUCAAUGUUCAUAAUUGUGUGUCAUAUAUUCCACCAACUGUAGAUAGUUACUGAAUAUAUGCCACAAUUUCUAAAGUAAAUAAGAAAAUUUAUGUACCAAGAUAGAAAAAAAAAAAAAUAAAAUUGGCUGCUUGAUGGAGAGUAUCCAUUGUCCAUUUCGAAAUUUUGAUGGAUGUACAAAUGAACCGUGUGGAAAUGGAUACAAAUCUUCGUAUUUCCAAAGCAUGUUAAGAAAGAUCACUUGAAGAGGGUUAAUGACAUCGACAGACUGAGAGAUGCGAUCAAAGUUGAUAUAGGUUUAUUUUCGUCGCUUGACAAUACUUUGAGGAGGAUGAACAAAUGGAUGUGUGGUGAUUGUUUUGGUAUCCAUGCAUCGACCAUAAAAUGUAAACAUCUGGAUGGUGCAGUCAUCAAACCACUUGCGCGAAAGGAGACCGGUGAGUUAGAGUGUGCAAUUGUAGGUAUACAACCACCACAGCUUGUGCAUGUUGAUAAUCCACCCGCACCUACAGCAGGAGGGGACACUGGUAUUGAUACUCACCUUUCUAUUGUUGUACCUUCUUUAGAUGAGAUAUCACUUAAUCGUAUUUUCUGUAGACCUUUCCGCACAGUGAAAAGUAUUCCACGUCCUUGUCGAUUAGCAUUCUCAUGUGCAUUAAAGUCAGUUUUGUAUGAGGUUACUGCAGACCCCAUGUCAACAGGGCCAUGGGUUAGAUUGCUCCUGCUUCCCUAUUGCACAUUGCAAGUGUUCCAUCCGCAGAAUCGCCAAGAGCGUCGUUCUGGUGCUCGAAAAUAUCUCCAGCAGAAUCAGAUUUUGCAGGCUCUCUCUAUUUGGAACGAGCCUGGGGGUAUAUUUCGUCUGAUUGAGAGGGUCACACACACAGAGCCUCCGUUGGAACGACCAUCUCGACAGUCCCAAAGCAAGAAUGUACGACGGUGUUUGCAAAAGGUUGCAGACGGGCACUUUGCAGCAGCCGUGAAGGUGUUGGCAUCAUCAGGGGUUGCUCCGAACACUCCAGAGACGCAGCGGGCUUUAGAGGAUAAACACCCGAAGCAUCCACCACCAUCUGUCCCCGACAUUCCUUUACUUGAGUCACCUUUGUCAGUUGAGAGGGAUGGGAUAUUAUCAUGCAUCAGGUCCUUCCCCAAAGGGACGUCUUGUGGGCGAGAUGGUCUCCAGGCCCAACACCUAUUGGAUGCUAUGAGUGGGGUUGCAUCCGCUGUAGCCACAGAUCUUAUGGAGGCCUUGACACCGGUUGUGAACUUAUGGCUACAAGGUCGAUGCCCACGGGUCUUGGCAGAGUUCAUAGCUAGUGCACCUCUCACCCCACUUCUUAAGCCAGGUAACGACAUUCGCCCAAUAGCUGUGGGUAUGGUUUGGCGUCGCCUAGUGUCUAAGAUUGCCAUGAGAGGAGUUUCUAAGGAUAUUGUCCCAUACCUAGAAGAUUUUUAGUUUGGGGUUGGUGUGCCUGGUGGAGCAGAGGCUUGCAUGCUGUUAAUCGGUUGGUUUAUGCCAACAAGGAUGACACAUCGUUUUCUAUGUUGCUUGUGGACUUUCAGAAUGCCUUCAACCUUGUCGAUCGGUCUGCUAUGCUACGGGAGGUACGCAAUCAUUGUUCAUCUAUUGCUCUAUGGGUCGAAUACCUCUAUUGCCAACCUGCUCGAUUGUAUCUAGGGUCUACUCAUAUUUGGUCAGCAGCUGGGAUACAGCAGGGGGACCCUUUGGGGCCUCUUCUCUUUGCUUUGGUCUUGCAUCCAUUGAUACACCGCAUUCAGUCAGAAUUCCACUUGGAGUUGCAGGCAUGAUACUUAGAUGAUGGUACUCUGAUUGGUAGUACAGAACAUGUGGCUAGAGCUAUUCGUAUCAUUCAGGAAAGAGGACCAUCUCUUGGGCUCGUGCUUAAUGUGUCUAAGACAGAGUUGUUCUGGCCUUCUGUUAAUCCUGACUGCUCCUAUCCAGAUAUCUUUCCGGUUGGUAUAUCAUGUUAUCAGCGAGGGGUUAAGUUGUUUGGCGGGGCUGUAAGUAUUGAUGCAUCAUUUAUUGUGGGUAAUGUUCGUCAACGAGUGGAUAAGACACUUCAACUUAUGGACUUAUUACCACAACUAAAAGAUCCGCAAUGUGAGUUGGCACUUUUACGUUCUUGUAUGGGAUUAUCUAAACUCACCUUUGCUCUCCGUACUUGCCCCCCUGAUUAUGUUCAGGAAACAGCUGAAUGGUUUGACCACAAGCUUCGUCCAGUUUUCCAUCAUCUUUCUAUCUUUUCUUACCUAAAUGCCCUUCUCCAAACAUUUUUUGUUUCUUUUUUUCUUUCUUGUACAAUUGAGUUGAAAUCACCAAGAUGGCAAGAUUAAUGAUCAUCCAAUUCAUCUCAAAGAGAAAGUGGGCUGCAAAAGAUCACUUAUGGCAACACUUUUUUGCAAUUUUUUGUAUAAUUUGUUCAUUCUCUUUCAACCAAAUCACUCAAGAAAAUACCCUACCAUAGCAAGAAAAGAAACCCAAAGUUCUAUUUGAAGAGAAAAACCAUGUUUUUUAGAAUAUAUUAAAUACUACGGAGUACAAUCAAAACUAAAUUAGAGGUUCAAUUUGAGAUUUAUUAUUGUGUGGAUAAUAUGGAUAUUGUAGUUUAAGAGAUAGGGGUGGAAUUCAGGGAAAUUAGAGGAUUGAAGUUAUGGGGUUUCAAUCCAAGUUUCUCAAAGUGUUUUUAAAUGGUUGUAUGAGGAUUAAGUGGGGUUCAACGAGGUAAAAUAAAGGUGAUUCAAUAAGGGUAAUGGAAAGAUGGUUUGUUAGCCACAAGAACACCUCUUACGGGUGGUAAUUAAUAGGAUUGAAGUUAUGGGUUUCAAUCCAAGUUCUUCUUCAUCAAUGUUAUCCUUUCCACAAAUAGAAAAAAAUAUACUCCCUCUGUCCCAAAUUAUAAGUACCUUAUUCCAUUUUAGAUUGUCCCAAAGUAUAAGUACCUUUUGAUUUUUGAUGGUUCAUUUGUCUAUAUUACCCUUGUUUUGAGAUAGAGUAAUUAUUCUAAUGAAAAGUUAGACAUUAUAAUUAGUAUUAAAUAGGGGUAAGUUAGGGAGUAGAGUUAGUAGACAAACAAUAAAUGAUGUUUCCUUAAUAAAUAGAAUAUUCCAAAAGGUACUUAUAAUUUGGGACGAAGGGAGUAGGCCCGUAAAAUAGGCCAGGUAGGGCUAGCCCGACCCUUGAACCCUCGAGCCCUCACACUUUAAGGGUCGGGCCAACCUUACCCUAAAAGAUGAUGAGGGUCCAGUAAUGGCGGGCCAACACAAAAAUUGUGAAAACCUCACCCGACCCUUAGUCCUUUAUUUUAAAGGGUUGAGGGUCGGGCUAAUGGGCCCAGUUGAUAGGGUCGAUAAGUAAAAUUAUGUUUUACUUAAAAACAAAUAUGCGAUGGGUUUCAUUACGUGUGCAAUUUACAGCUACAUUCGUUUCAUUACGUGUGCAGUUACAAUAUAAAUCAACAACUAUAUUACGUCGACUUAUCAUAACUGCGCACAAAACGAAUGUGGCUGCGACUACUCUAAAGAAAAACAAAAGUACUACUACCUAAGUUAAAAGGUAACCUAGUUCUAAUGGAAUCUUAGUAAUGUAGUAGUAGUGUAGUACAACUGCAACACAUACAUUGUGUGAAAAAGUAAAUUUAGUAAAAAAAAAAAAAAUGUCAGCUUUUUAUGUAUAGUGUGAUCACAUCAAUUAGUCAGCCAGUCUGGUCAGCGACACCCAACAAAAAACAACAUUGGUGGUGGUGUUAGUAGUUUUUUUUUUUUUUAAUUAAUUAUUAAUUAAUUAAUAAUAUUUGUUUCUUUUGUCAUUAAGAAAGAGAUAGAGAUUUACUAAUCUUCUUAUUAAUCUCAAUUCACAACUUCUCACCUCUCUCUCUCUCUCUCUCUCUCUCUUUCUCUCUCUCUGUGUUGUCUUCAAGCCACCCUCAUCUCUCUCUCUUUUCUCUCUUUCUCUCUUUCUCUCUCUCUUAACCUUCCAACCAUUUUUUUUCUUCUCUAUCUUUCUCUCUCAUCAACAGACCGACCUUUCUUUUCCUUCUUAUCAUCAUCGGUAGGUUUUUGUCUGGUCUUCUCUCUCUUAAAACAGAGUGAAAAAGAAGAAAUCAGAAUCAAUUUUUUUUAGAGAGAGAGAAGAUAAUAACGAAGUUUUUUCUGGGUUUUCUUCAACGUUUCUUCUUAUUCUAAUUUGGGUUUUCUUCAGAUUGAUCGUUGAUCGCUUCUAUAGAUCCUUCAAGGUGUGUUUUUUAUUCAGAUUUUGUGAUUUUUAUGUAGUUUUUUGUAUUUUUAAUAGAAUAUUAAUGAAGAAAUUGAGUUAAAUUUAGCUAAAUUAGGAUUUUUUUUGUUGUUGAUGAUGAUGUUGUUUGAUAUAGAACCGUGACACGGUGGAGACCGACGUUAGAAAUGCAAUAAAAUUUAACAUAUAUGCUUGGAAUAGUUUCCACAAGAAGCACUACUGCCUUAUGCCUUAGCCAUAGGAUCAUAGUUAACCACAAGAAGGAUUAAGGUUCAGCAUUUAAACAAAAAAAAAAAAAAAAAUCCCACAUGUCAACAGUUACAAUAGUUAACACAUACUAGUCAAGCAUCCUGAAGAAAUAUUUGUUCAACAAAACCUAACAAUACACAAGUCAUGUGAUGGGUUUCAAGCUUGAAUCUAAUGCAAAAUCAGCUACAGCAGAGGUUACAUUUAAUACAAAGGCCAGCAACAGUAACCAGCGACUGACUUACAAUAGACGUUGCCUCUUCUUUGGAAGAUUUUCAAAGACCUGAUGUACAUCAACAGUUGUAAUUGGCUUUGAUGAGUCAAUAUUCUCCUGUAUAGAACACUAUAUAGCAUUGUUAGGAACAUAAUUACAAAAAUGUAAACCAACGACUACAACAACAAAAGGCUUCCCCUCUGUAACUUGGCUCGCUACACAAACACAAAAGAAGAAGCCUACCCAACCCAACAUAGAAGAUCAAAAUUAUAAAGAACAUACUAAGAAGGACCUAAACUUACAUUGUGGCUUCACUGUUAGGAUUACUUUUUCUCCCUUCUUCAUUGUCUUUACUGCUUUUGAUAGUGCAUGAUAAAAAUGAUCUGGUUCAAAGAAACAAAAGAAAAGAAAAUACUCAAUAGAAAAUAAGAGCACUCAGAAAAUUAGCCUAAGAACGGAAGGACUUGCCUUUUCUUUUUGGCAGUCAGUUGGUUAAAUUCUUGAAUCUGAUCACAAUCAAGCUCAGAUGAUUCCAACAUCUCCAUGUCUUUCGAAUUUGCACGUAGCCUUGAACAACAACUACUAACUUUGUCAAAUGCCUAAAAUAUCACAUUCAAUUAGAUAAAUUCAAAAAAUUAGAAACACCAUCAACUGAUAGAAAUUGAUAUUAAAAAAAAAAUCUGAAAAUUGAAAUUUAAUAAAUAAAUAAAAGGAAAUAAAAAAGAAAACCCCAAAUCUAAAUUCAAAAAAUUAGAAACACCAUCAACUGAUAGAAAUUGAUAUUAAAAAAAAUUCUGAAAAUUGAACUUUAAUAAUUAAAUGAAAGGAAAUAAAAAAAGAAAAACCCAAAUCGGUUGUUGAUAGUGAAGCACAACAAAUUGAAGAAAUGGAACUAGUGAAACUUACAAAUGGUAUUCAAUGAUUCAGUCAAUCUAUUUGAUUUUAAGUAAAAACCCAAAAAUCUCAAAUUUCAAGGAUUGAAUGAAAAAAAUCCCCAACAAUUUCUAAUUCAACUAAACCCCAAUUCAACCAUAACAGAAAACAAAAACCCUUUUUAAAUAGAAACAAAUUGGGGAAAAAAGCCAUACCUUCCUUUUUCUUCUUCUUUGUUCUUCGUCUUACUACGUCAUUUGGCAGUGGAAGGAGAGAGAGAGAUGGUAAUAUGAUUAUCUGUGUCUUACUACGUCAUUUGGCAGUGGAAGGAGAGAGAGAGAUGGUAAUCAGAUUAUCUGUGAGUUUGAAGAGAGAAGAGAAGAGAAAGAGAGGAUAGAUGAAGAGAAUAGAAAUAAAAGAAAAGAGUCUUUCUUAUGAUGUAGAGAUGGCGAUCUGACUAUCUGUGAGCUGAAGGGAGAACAGAAGAAAAGGGGAGAUAGAAGAAGAGAAUAGAGAAAACGAAGGAGACAAAAAAAAAAUUAAAAAAAAGGAAAAAAGUCGGACAUACAAAAUAAAAUGAAAAAGAGUCGGGGACAGACACGACUUUAAGUACCACUCGACCCUUAAGGGACCUCCUAACGUCCCUUUAAGAGUCGGGUGGAACUCAAACUCGUGUCUGUCCCCAACGUUUUUUCAAGUUUUGUUGUCUGUCCGACUUUUUUUCUUUUUUUAAAAUUAUUUAUCGUCUCCUUUUUUCCUCUUCUUCUAUCUCCCUUUUUUUUUUCCCUAUUUCUCUUCGUCUAUCUCCCUUUUUCUUCUGUCUCCCUUCAGCUCACAGAGAAUCAGAUCGCCAUCUCUACAUCAUAACACAAACUCCUUUCUUUUAUCUCUAUUCUCUUCAUCUAUCUUCUCUUUCUUUUCUCUUCUCUCUUCAAACUCACAGAUAAUCAGAUUACCAUAUCUCUCUCUCCACUGCCAAAUGACGUCGUAAGACGAAGAACAAGAAGAAGAAGGUAUGGUUUUUUUCCCAAUUUGCUUGUAUUUAGAAAGAGUUUUUGUUUUCUGUUAUUUAGAAGGUAUGGGGUUUAGUUGAAUUAGAAUUGUUGGGUUUUUUUCAUUCAAUGUUUCUAAAAUUUGAGAUUUUUGGGUUUUUACUUAAAAUCAAAUAGAUUGACUGAAUCAUUGAAUACCAUUUGUAAGUUUCACUAGUUCCAUUUCUUCAAUUGUUGUGCUUCACCAUCAACAACCGAUUUGGGUUUUUCUUUUUUUUUUCUUUUAUUUAAUUAUUAAAGUUCAAUUUUCAGAAUUUUGUUUUUAAUAUCAAAUUCUAUCAGUUGAUGAUGUUUCUAAUUUUUUGAAUUUAUCUAAUUGAAUGUGAUAUUUUAGGCAUUUCUCUUGGUUGAUUUAUUAGAUUGUUCCCAAUUUAGUGACUAAUUUGAUGUAAUUCUUGUGCUUUUUACUCAGGCUUGUUGAAGUCAGUCUUGAAACAUUUCUAAUUGAUUGAUAAAGAAUAAUUACAUAACAUGUCCAUCUUCCUACUUCCUAGGUUUGAGUUACCUUAUAAAAUUGAAGAGUGAAUGUUGUCUUCAAAUUCAUUUUGUUCAAUGUAAGAUAUGUUUCUUAUUAAUGAUAGUUCUUAGUGUUUGUGAAAUGCCUGGCUGGAAACUGUCUGGCAUGAUAUCCCAAGCAUAAAUGUUAAAUAACUGUUUGGCAUUAUAUCCAGGAUUAGAUUGUAAUUGACGACAACAUCUCUUAAUUACAUUGGAUCAUAAAAUACAUGAAUGAAAUCUUGGUUAUCUGAUGGGCACUCUCAUUCUAUCAACUGUCAGAAAAAUUUAGGUGCUACUACGAAACACCUGUACACGAAAAAGCCGCAAUCUUUACGAUUAAUUUUGCAAACUAGUCUACCCAUUUCUAACGUCGGUCUCCACCGUGUCACGGUUCUAUAUUAGUGCUUAAUUUGAGCUCGAACUGGUUGAGUAGGAAACGAAAAGAAAGAGGAGUGCGAAAGAGACGAACACAGUCCAAAAAAUGGUCCAAUUCUCUUCUGCUAUUCGCGAUGAUUUCAUUCGGUAAUCUCUCUCUCUCUCAAAUCUUUCUCUUUAAAUCUAUUUUCUCUGAGUUUUUUUUUUUUUUUUGAUUAUGUAGGUUAUCUGAAUCAAUCCGAGUAUCCUUAUUGAAAACAAAAUAUAAUCUACCAGAAAGCGCAAAUGUUUGCAUCAAAAGCAUACUCGAAUCCUUAUUACCUAACAACAUCUCCAAAGAACAAGACAUUGAGAAAGAAAUUAGGGAUUUCUGUUUAUGUUGUGCUGCAUUAGCUUCAGUUGAAGAUGAAAAAGAAGAAACUUUACUCUCAUGGAUUCCCAAACAUCUUUCAAUAGCAGCAAAGACUGCAUUAGAAGAACUCUCGAACGCGUUUUUUGGUUGUGUGGAUGAAAAAGAAUUGAAUUUGCAGAAGUUAGUGAUUGAAUUAAUGCCUGAAGUGUUGCCAUUAUUGAAAGAGACUAUUAAAGAAAGUUCAAUUGAUGGUACAGACGCUGAUAAUGAGAUUUCAGCUGCUUCUGCAAGAACUCCGGUUGGUUAUGCGAUUGUAGCUGCUUAUCAAUUUAGGUGGUUUGUAACUCAGGUGUGUUUCAAGUUGAAAUUGUAAUGGUUUAUUGAGUUUUCGAAGAGUGUGUAGAUUUUGAUAGUGAUGUUUUGUUUGUGUUUUCAGGUUAGUUAUCCUCACUUGGGAAAAUUGUGUUCAUUAAUGAUUCCAUGUGCUUUGACAACUCUCGAUCACUGGUCACCUGCAGUAAAAGUAAGUUACUUUAUUGGUCUUUUUGGUUUAGAACAACUGUGUUCAUUUUCAAUGCCUUCUUGGAUUCUUACUUGUUGGUGAUCACUGAUCAGAACAAUGACAUAAUUUUUCUCCUUCAGGGUCAGGGUAUGCUUAGUUUCAUACAUCUUGCAAAAAAUGUGAAUGCUGCUGAGCUAGAAUGGUAUGAAGAUGUAAUCCUUGAUAUAUGUUGUCGAAAUAUAGCUUCUGAUGAUAUGUUAUGGCACCAUGUGGUUGAAAUGUUGGUGCUUUUGUUGACAUCUAUCCAGAAAAAGAACCCUCGUAGCUCAUGGUAUGUAUGAUUUUUGUUUAUGCAAAGAAAAUUUCUUUAAUGCCUUCAUACCAUAGGUAUUAAGAAUUAGCUUUUCAUACCUUUAUGGUGAGCCUAAAAUUUUAUUUGUGGAAAUAAAUAGAUGUUUGAUCAAAGCGAAAUAUAUAUAUUUUCUGUGGGAAUGAAAGAUUGUUAUAAAGAUGAUGAAAGCACUAAGAGGGUUCCAUUGAAAUACAGGAUAUGGUAAUGUGGACACUUUAAAGUCAUCUAAGCACAACAACUAAGGGUGUUAAAUAACUUUCUAGCUGGAGUUUGGCAUUGGAAGUGCCCUUCAGAUCUAUGAGCUUCAACAUGCUUUUAUCUUAUUUGUUUUAACUUUUAACAGAAACACUUACAAUGAAGCCUAGUGUUAUCCUGGAAUAGAUUACGUUUUAUAUGUAGACUUAAUAUGCUUUAUACCUUGCCUACUGGAAUUUAGUUUUCAAUUGCAUUUUAUCAUCCAGUCGGCUUUCGACAUAUUCAGUAGAAUUUCGUAUAUGUUGGAUCUAAACAUUCGUGUGUGUGGGAGGGACUAUGAAUAAAGUUUCCUAUUAUUACUGGCCCACCUAGUGUACUGCGUUAUGCACUGCAUAUCAUUAGUAUUCAUUUUGUUGGUCUGUCUUAGUAAAACUGAGUUGCUUUCGUUUAGGUUUGAGAAGAUGAUGAACGAGAUGUUAAGUCACUUGGAACGCCAACCAAGGAACAAAGAACGAUAUACAGCAUGGCUUGAACUCAUUGAGCCAGUUUUUAUUGCUAUGGGUCUUGUAUUGGUAGCACAUUUCAGGCGUAUAUUCCCACUCCUCUUUCAGUGGAUGCAUAAUGAUGAUGAUAGAACUAUUUUACUGGUGAGAUGCGAUAAUAGCUUCGUGCACAUGAAUAUUUAAUAACUAGAAUUAAAUUUGGAAUAUGCCAUUAUUGUGGUUAUUUCCUUUUUUGUUUCCUUGUAUCCUACAACACGUUUAAUAUCACUACUUCUGUAGUUCUGUAUAUAGAAUAUAGUUCUUGGUACCCUUUUCAAUAAGCCUUUAAAGUCUUACUGCAUGAGCUUCUAACCAGUACAUAUUUAGGGCGAUUUGUAGAAUUAUGAGUUAAAAUGGUCAUUACAUUUGUUCCAACAAAAACUUGCAGCCUGGGGAUGGCCUCGAACUCAUAGUCAUGUAACCUUCUAUCCGACCCCCCAACACCCAAAGAAAGAGUUUCAUCACUUCAUGCAGUGUGGGCGAAUGUGCGACUCUGUGACUCUUUUAAACCAUUGCAGUUUCUGUAAAGUAUCCCUUCAUUUCCCCUCAAUGCAAUGGAAGGAUAUUGAGCAUCUGAUUAAGGUUAGACAUUUAAGUCUUAGAAGCGGUCCAUGCUUGGUCAAUACCUGGUGGGGAUAUAAAAUUUGUACGUCACUGUUUGGCCACAAUAUUUUUUAUUUAGUUUUUACAAUGCGAAUGCGAUGGCCAACUGAAAUAUUUGAUGACAAAAUGAGAUCAUUACGUUCUGUGGUAUGCAGACACAAUUUGAUAUGUAGUUAAAAUCUAAUGAAAGGGUCUAGUUUUUAAUGAGAUCACUUGACUGCUGAACCACACACAAACACAAACUCUGACAUGGAAAUCAUGUUUGGUGAAACACGUGAAAUGCCAAGAUUGUGAUAAUAGGAUGUUUUUGUUGUCUUUCAGGUUCUUCAGCGGACCCAUACGAUCAUAAAGUUAACAUGGAUUAGGAACACACCUUACAUUGAAAGGUCAGCUUCAUAAUGUGUUAAUUUUCUAUUUACUAUACCACAAGUUCUGUUUCAUAGUUUGCUUUGUGUGACUUUCUAUUUGUCAACAAGAUCAUUAUAACAAUUUUUGUACCAUGUGAUAACUUAAUAGCAUCUAACCUGCCCCUAGCAGAUGCCAGCUGAGCCCAGUUGGUAAUACCUCUGGGCGAUGAUACCAGAGGUCUGGGGUUCGAUCCCAGGCAGUGCAUCUUUGACUUACUGAUCUUGUUAAAAACAGGCUUGCCAAUCAAAAAAAAAAAAAAAAAAAAACUGCCCCUAGCUUACCAGCUGCUCAUGUUUUUGAGUGGAGUUACUUUUGAUGUCAUUUGAUCCCUUAUCAUGAUUUCAUUUUAAUUAAUGUUCUUGCUCCCAUCUUCUGACUUUAGAUUGGUAGAUCAUCUGACCAAUACCUACAAGGAAGCCUCCAUGAGAAGGGCUCGUGAAGAAAUUCGUAAAGAAGUCCUUCAGAUGCUUAUCCUACUCCACAAGUAAGCAUAUGUUAUAUAUAUGCAUGCAUUUAUACUUAUGGCUGCAUUGUUCUUAAUAAAAAAAUUCUAUUUGUUGCAAAGAUGCAAGGGCUUGCAGUUUGAAGCAACUUGGAAUAAAUACAGAGAUGAUCCAAACUUGUCUGCACUCACUUCAUUGUUCGGUACUGAAAAUAUAGUCAUGGUAAGGAUGAAAUAAUGUUGUUAUUUGUGUUAUUAAUACUCUUUCGUGUAACACUAAGCAACUAGUACAUAGUGAGUGGUUCACCAGUGAUAGAGUGCCCCUUGUGAACUAGUGCAAUCAACAUCCACUUUUCACAAUGUUGAAUGUACACUGUAAUGUUUUCAUUUUACGAAACUAAACCAAAGUUUACUUGAUUAGUUGCACGUCGGAGAAAACCUAAAGAAAACCGAACCAAGCUUGUGCAACUGGCGCCUUGGUCAAAUUAAGUUUCACUUUUAUUAUGAGUUCUUUGUUGUGAUCACAGAAUGGUGGAUCCAAGUAUCCACCCUGUACAUUAAUUCAUAAUCCUAUCUUAUUGAUAGUCAAGUAAAUCAGAUCACCUUUUUAACUACUAAGUACUAACUUAUCUUUCUCUUCUUUUUAAUGGUUAUAAUCUACCAGGUUGCUUAGUGAUUUAGAAUGUGCGGACAAGCCGAGGUUUUAUACACAAGCAUAUGCUGAAGCUAAUACUGUUAAUGUAAAAUAUGUCCAACCAAAAGCUGGGACCUGUUUGCUUACAAGCACAAAUUGCUGAUCAUUGAAGAAUAUUUUGGAUAAUAAGGCUUCUUGUAAUCCUUUAUCUUGUUGCAUACUAUGUCUCUUUUUUUGGUUCUUUAUUUGAAAAUUGGAUAGUCUGAGACAGACUACGGUAGUACGGUCAGAAGUGAACAUAUCCAGCUUUGGAAAGCAAAUAUUUUGUAUACCUGAUCUUCAUUUAUGUACAGAGAAUUUCAUUGAAAAGAAAGGUUUGUUAGGGGUCCUAACUGGACUCAACUGCUGUUAAAGUGGUCUUUUUUUUCCUUUUCCGCAAACUUGGUCACAUUGUGUGUGUUUUUCGAAAGGGGCUGUUGUUUGCUCACCACUGGGAGAUGGAACCAGCCUUUAAUGUCUUCCAAAAACAAUGUUUCCUGGUUCUUGAUACUAAUAGCUGCUUUAUAAGCAGAAGAUUUAAAGGACAGAAAGCUUCAGCUGACAGGAACUUCAAGCUUUCUUCUGAUUGAUUCAAGUAUUUUCACAGUAAAAUUAUAAAUCACAGUAGAAGCCAUGUCAAGUUUGUUCAGAUGUAGAGCCACAGUUCAAAAUUUUCUUAUGUAGGUUUUGAAUGUUUUUUUGUAACCAAAAUUUUCAUUAUCAUCAGUCAUCCCCAUCCUAAUAUCGAUCACUAAUUUCAAGCCUUCUUCUAAUUUCAUAUCAUGUCAACCACCUCGUCGGGUGUUAGCCAGUAAUCCACAACUAAAACCUAGCUUUUGAGAUAGUUACUGGGAGAUCAAUUUGGGGCCUGGUUUCUGUAGCCUUUGGGGAUGACAGUCAGUUUCGUUUAGUCCCACAUCGACAAGAUAUCAUGUUUGGUAGUGCUAUUUCAAAAAUGAAAUGAGUGUGUAUGGCACGACCUUACUUGAACAGGAUCUGUUCUAUAGGGAAGUGCCUCUGUAUCCUUUAGUAAAAAGGAGACGGUAACCAAAGCUUGGUGGAUGAACCAGGACCGUGUGAUCAGAGCGUGAUUAAUGGCCGAGAUUCAAGCUGUGAAUCUUCUGGUUGUAGAGGAUCGUUCUCAGCUGCCUUGGUGGCUGAGAUGUUCACACGGUUGUCUGACAGGCUCAAAAUCUUUUUGCUUUUCUCCCCUAAGUUUGAUGCAUUUAAGUUUGAUGCAUUUUUCAAUUUAUGCAACUCUAAAUGGAUUCCAUAUAAAUGCAGUAUGAAAUUAUGCUCCAACUUUCUUGAUAACACAAACUGUUUUGGGCUAAUUGUGGUCCUGAUCAAGACUCUGACAUCUCUCAAGAAGAUGUUUAGGUGCUCCUAACUAUAGAUGUAUUAUAUUUGGAUGAACACUUUCGAGGAGUAGAGAUGAACAUUGAACACCCUCAUUUAAGUAUCAGGAGUCCAUGUUAUUACAGCUAUUAUUAGAGGAUAAGAAGCUGCUGGCAAUACUUGAAGCUUGGUGGAUCAGCUGCUGCAGAGAGAACAUGCCUGUCCUCUGAUUGAGGGAUCUGAGCUCCAUUUGGAAGCAUUUCAGGCAGGUGUUGCUCCUAUAUCUACUGUAGAAACUACAUUCUGCACUACUAGUUGUGGUGAAGGGAUGUUUUUGUUGGGUUUACAGCUGUGGUAGUGGUAUAAACAUGAUGCCAAUGCUUCAUGUUAUAUCAAUAAAAUAUGCGCAAUUUACUUGUCCCAUAAGAAGAGGAAAAGGCAUAUUAACAACAUGGUGCCUUGUUAUCCCAAAAAAAAUAAAAACAAUUUGCUGCCUGCACUACUUAAUGAGAAGAAUUUUAUUAUGUUUUUGACUUAUCCAUAUAUCAACACAAACCACAUCAGCCAAACUCUAGCACUAGGGGUGGGCAAAAAAACCGAAAACCGAACCGAAAAACCGAGUCAAAACCGGUCAAAACCGAAUUGACUAAAAACCGGUCAAGACCGGACCGAAACCGAACCGAACUAUAUAGCUAUUGGUCCGGUCUCGGUUCUUGUUUUUAUAGAACCGAGAGAACCGAACCGAACCGAAAUAAAUAAAAAAAUAUUUUUUUUAUUAGUAAAUUACUAAACUAGACAUAGGAAUUAGUAAUUAGUUGUGGACUUAUGGUGGAUCCAUGGUUGGUUAAUUGGUUUUGGACAUUUUUCCUAUUUAGUACUUGAUUUGGUGUAUGUCUUAUUUUGUUUAAAGCCCAAAACUUAAGAAAAAUCAUCUAAAUUGUAGUGGACUAAAGGCCCAAUAAAAAAGCCCAGGACCGAGUUUCGGACUGAAACCGGACCGAUUGUAUUUGGUCCGGUUCGGUCCGGUUACAUUCAAAUAAUUUCGGUCCAUGGAACCGAAACCGAACCGAUACUUUCAAGUCGGUUUGGUCCCGGUCCUAUUACAUUUUAGGACCGGACCGGACCGUGCCCACCCCUAUCUAGCACCACAAUCCCAACAGCCAUGAAAAAAGUGGGAGGGACAAAAAGUAAAGAAAGGGGAAACGUGAGAAAGAAAAAUUCAUUUCCCCGAGCACUCGUAUUUUAUAAAGAGGGAGCUCUACUCUUUAAGUAAGAAAGCAGAGGGAAAAUAGAAUUAGCUGAGUUUGCCCUCCAUCACUCUGCCAGUGCAGUAGGAUGAGGACAGUUUCUUAUUAACUCCAUAGUUUGGUCUCUUCUAUCUUCAGUUCUUUUUCACAAUUUCUCAAAAGCUUGGAUGAAUGAUACCAACGGAUGUUUGUGCUGUUGUGAAAGAUCGUAACAACCCUAAGAUGAAAAAGUUUAAAUACCCUUCCCCCGUUUCUACAGUAAGGCGCCUGACAAGUGCCAACUGGCUGCUUCAAGAAUGAUCCCUAGAGCUACAAUAUUACAUCUGGCAAGAUUUGCUUCAAUCAAAAUUUUAUUUUAAUUUUUUGUUAAAGUAGAUACAAUCAUACAAAUUCAUAUGAGAAAAUUAAUGGGGACUAUUGUUUUUAUUAUUUCACUCAACUUCAUAGAUAAAAUAUUGAACUUAAGUUUUAUUAUAUAUCCAAAACAACUGAUUGUUGCUGCUCUUUUUCUCAAUUUUUCUUUAUCGAAAACAAAGAAUAAUAUCUCCAAAAACUAAACCCACCUAUCCCAUAUAUAUCUUAAUUAAUAGGAGGGUCACUGUUGAUGUUGCAAUUAAGUUCAUACCCCAACAAUCUCAAUUACAAUUAAAACCAAAAAUCACGAAUUACUGUUGUUGUAUUUACACAACAAAAAAAAAAAAAAAAGAUAGAUAGAUCUUUACCAUAAAAAAGAGAGAGAGAUAGAUAUAUAAAGAGAGAAAUACCUGUUAGUUGAAAUUGAGAGAGAUACCUAACUCAAAAUAGUUGAAUCAAUUCACUUGAAGAGAAACCCAAUAAAAAGGGAAGAUAGAGAAGAAGAGAUUUCUAAUAGGGAAGAGCAAGAAGAAACCAAGGUAUGAAAGAAAGUGGACGGGACGGAAGAAAAAACUGAAAAAUAGGGGGUGUGCCCUUUGCCUAGAUAUAUUUAAGUGAAACAGGUUUAACCGGUUAAGAAGGGUGCUCUUAAUUUUUUCACGAGGUGUGUGCCUCUAGAAAAGUGGCGUGUGCUUCUAGCCUUUUAAAGGCAAUUUCUUAUAGGAUAUAAGAUGGGCUUUACUGUAGCUAAAGGCAGGUUGCUUUACAAUUAGUAAAGAUUUGAGCCCAAUAGUUGUGUAUGUGUGUGUUGUGAAUUAUGUUAUGUGAUAUGUGAACUGUGAAGUACCUCUUUGUCCUCAAGUGAAAAGGAGAAGGAAACCAAAGCUUGUUGGAUGAACCAGGACCGUGCGAUCUGAGCAUGAUUAAUGGCUGAGAUUCAAGUUGUGAUUCUUCUGGCAGUAGGGGAUCAAUCUCAGCUGCCUAUUAGACUAUUAAUAGCUUUUUCUCCCCCAAACGAUUCUUGGGCCUAAGACUAAGUUGAGCUUAGUGGUCGAAGUAAUUUGUGUUUUUUAGUUUGGUAAUCUAAGAGCAUUCGCAAUGGUAGAUUUUAAAUCACUUUUAGCAACUUUUAAUAAAAAACUCUUGCCAAUAGUGGGUUUUAACGCAUUUUUCAAGCAAAACACUUUUAGAGCAUUCCUAAUGGUAGGUUUUAGCACACUUUUAGUGUAAACAGUUGCCAAUGGUAGCUUUUAACACACUUUUCAAGCAAAACACUUUUAACUCCUUGGCAAAUUUGCUAAGGAGUUAAAAGUGCCACGUAGGAAUCCAUCCGCCAUAAUUAGUGCGGUAUGGAUCCAUACCCCACAAUGAGUGCGGUUUCAAUAAUCCACCAUUGGAAACACCAAAAUUCCUUAAAACCAUCCUAUGUGGCAUCACUAAAAGUGUUUUACCAUUGAGAAUGCUCUUAUCUCCUUGGCAAAGAGUUAAAAGUGCCCCAUAGAACCAUUUUAUUAAUUAAAAAUUAGAUUUCAUCACAAUGUACACUAUAUUUUUGGAGAAAAGUGAAACCUUAAAUUUUAACACUAUGUUAAAACCUUUUCUCUCUCUUAUGUGGCACCCUUAAAACCCUUUUACUAUUGAGAAUAAUCAUGUUCUUGAAAGUAGCGGUAAGCUCCAUCUCGAGCUUGGUCACAGAUCUGGGUUGCUGAGCUCCUUCUCUUCUAUCUCCUUGUGAUACCUGCAAAGACCACCGGCUAUCAUCCGGUGGGGAAAGCUCCAACGCCCAAGUUAGUAAUGGAGGCCAACUUAGAAAUUAGAUUAAAUAAAGAGUGAAUAGUUACCUUGUGUGAACCCUAAUGUUUUCCUUAUAUAGCGGUAUUAACCGCCUUCUUCUGACCGUAGGAUUCCCCUCUGCAUCCUACGGUCCUUCUAUCUCUUUCGUGGCUCAUCCUCCAUCACAUACUAUAGGGUAAGUGCUUGACAACUAGGUAUCACGUGUUUUAUCCGUGAUGCUCUAGAAUGUUCUAAGCUAUUAUUAGGUAGUUCUCGGUUUUCCUUACUUGGCGUACUCCUACGUUCUUUACACGCCACCUAGUAUGGUACUUACAGUAGCAAUAAUCAUGUUCUUAAAAGUCAUUUAUUUCUCAAAAAAAUAAAUAAAUAAAUGCAUUGUGAAGAAUCAUUCAUAGCAACUGUUUGAUGCAAUUUCAACGGUGCUACAUAACCUCAUUUGCAACUAGCGACUGUUUGGUACAAUUUCAACAAUGCUACAUAACCUCAUUUGCAACUACAAUCUCUCUCUCUUCAACUGCAAAUCUUCAAUUUAGAAUUGUGCAAUAUUCAAAAUCUCACAGCUAUCAGUAACAUCAAAUGGUUACGGUGUAGACCACAUAUCCACAAAAUAUUUAUUUUCAAUAUCAUCUAUUAGUUUCUUGAGGACAUUUUCAUGAGCUAUAUAUAUGACUCCCAAGUCCCAAUAUUGGAAAAUAGCAAUACUGUCAUCUUAACUCUUAAGUUGGUCUCCAUAGAACAAAAUAUGGCCACUGGUAAGCUUGAGAUGGAAAAGGAAGCAAAGUGUAAUCCUCAGAAGUUCUACGGUAUGAUCAAGUACACUCUUCAUCACCUCCAUACUAUCUUCCCUGAGUCAUACAAGAGUAUUGAUAUACUUGAAGGAGAUGGUGAGAGUGUGGGUUCUGUCAGGCUUUGGAAAUAUGUCCUCCCAGGUAAAACUUGCAUAAUCACACAAGAGGAUGAUUAGACAUCAAAAUCUAUCUCAUCGUCUGGUUUCUUGAUUAUACUGUAUCUAACUUGUAUAUAUGAUGAUGAUUUUUACAGGGACAUCCGAAGUUUUGACUGCUAAGGAAAAGACUGAAGUGAUAGAUGAUGAAAACAUGUUGAUAGUUUGGAACAUAUACGAAGGAGAUCAUACAAAUCAUUAUAAUGGUUUUGUCCUGCUAAAGAUGCAAGUUGUUCCUAAUGGUGAAGGGAGCUUGGUAAAAUGGACUUUUGAGUAUGAAAAGCGCAAUGAGGGUGGACCAGAUCCACAACAGUUUAUGAAUAUGUUUGUCAUGUUUGGUGACAAGUUGGAUGCUCACCUUGCUGCCGAGGCCUAAAUGAAGUGCAAUACUGCAACCGGACCUCUGAAAUAAAUAAGUGAGACGAGGAACAUCUGUUCCAGACAUAGAAUGCUUCGCAUAUAUAAGUUAUUUUGUACUUGUUAAAUAAGAGAAGUUAAUAUUCUUCUUUUCCUUGUUUGAGAAAUAUGGUGUCCUCUAUGGUUACUGUUUGAGAAGUUACUAUUUGUUCAAGUGUUUAAUAUGAUGAUCUCAUUUACAUCUAAUGCCCACAUAACUCGUUGCGAUGGAUGUUUGAUUUCUAUUACGUUGCAAUGUUUUCUAAGGUAAGAGACAAAGCGUCUAAAUUUAGUUGUCUUUGACAGGGAGCAUUAGCACCAUAGUCCCACAUCGACAAGAUAUCAUGUUUGGUAGUGCUAUUUCAACAAUGAAAUGAGUGUGUAUGGUACGACCUUACUUGAACAGGAUCUGUUCUAUAGGGAAGUGCCUCUGUAUCCUUUAGUAAAAAGGAGACGGUAACCAAAGCUUGGUGGAUGAACCAGGACCGUGUGAUCAGAGCAUGAUUAAUGGCCGAGAUUCAAGCUGUGAAUCUUCUGGUUGUAGAGGAUCGUUCUCAGCUGCCUUGGUGGCUGAGAUGGUCACACGGUUGUCUGACAGGCUCAAAAACUUUUUGCUCCAAACGAUUCUUGGGCUAAAGACUGCUACUGUUCUCAACAUGCAAUUGAACUAUAACUUAGCUCUCUUCAACUGCAAAUCAACACAAUGUAAAAGAGAUCCACAACAGUUUAUGAACAUGCUUGGCAUGUUUAAUGACAAGUUGGAUGCUCGUCUUAUUGCCAAGGCCUAAAUGAAGUGUGAAAUAAAUAAGUGAAAUAUGAACAUAUGGAUCGAGUGCUUUCACUAUGUAUAAGUUUUUUAUUUAUUUUUAUAUAUUUAUAAGUUGUGAUUUGUCAAGUCGGAACCCUUCCUUGUUUGAGAAAUAAUAUCAAUAUGGGGUCUUCGACAGUAUAUAUACAUAUAUAUGAUCCUAUUCACAUCCCAAGCCCAGACAAUUCAUUUCCAUGGAUGUUUGAUUUCAAUUAUGUUUCAUAGUCUUCUACGAAAUAACAUCUUCAACGAAGCUAUUUCCACAAGAGAAAUGAGAGUGUAUGGUUCAACCUUGCUUGAAGUUCAAGCCUGUAGGACUCCAGUGUGAUGACACUGUAUUAACCUAUUUCUAGAUUAAUGCACUACUAGGUCAGGUCGCUGGGAGACUUGACCAAAGGGGGAGAUUUUAGGUCGGGGUGGCUGCACCUCGUUGAGAUCGAGAUUGCCUACGUACUCUUAGCUCGAGGGGAUUGAACUUAGAGAUCAAGCCAUCGUAGUUCUGCUCUUAUAGAAGGUAGAAAGGUGUGGAUCGUGGAUCUUGCAGAUUCUCCGUCAUCAUAAUGAGGAUUAAUUGUGUAACGCGCGUGGAUCAUCCCUGUGAAUUAAUUAUGUAACUGACAGAAUAUUCUGUGCAUUGAAUGAGAGCGCAUGUGUGUAAGCAGGCCGCUGCUCGUUAUGAGGUCGAGCUGUUGUGGACGAGCUACUAGCAGGUAGAGAUCGUGGCGACCUGGUGGAUGAGUGACUGUGCCACGUGGCUGCUUUUGAUUGGUUGGAGUAUGUAGUACCCCUACAUAAGCCCCCUCUUUUUAGGUCGGCUGUAGAAGUCGGGCUGAAAAGACUAAUAACUCUGAUCGAUGUUGAUUUGUGGUUUGCUUUUUGAAUUUUCUGACGUGGCGGUCAUGCAGGCUUGUCUGUACUAAUCAUGGCGCUCUUACGGGGAAGUGGGAGGUUUUCCUCGAGCAGUUAGUUGCGCAGUUAUGGCAACUGGCGCACCUCUUGCCUGAUAUAGUCGUUGCGUGGCACGUGGGUUGAUCCGACGGUGGAUGUGAAUCUUUUAUGAAGUGAAAAAUAACUGCAAUGGAAGUGGAUCGUCUUGUUCGAUCUCAGCCGUUCACCUUUUUCGAACUGAUGGCUGGGAUUGUACGAGCUGCAGUAUUUAAACUGUAGCUUUGUUGAGAAGGGUUUACCUAUUUCGCUUUCAUUUGAAUUGCUGCCGCUUUACUCUUGCGAUCUGAAGAACUUUGAGAGCUCGUGAGGUUAGUUUUCUUCUCUUUCUUUUCCUUCAUCUUCUGUUUUCAUUUCUGUUGUUUGAGAGAAAUGUCUGAUUUGAGUGACUCUCAAAAUGAUAACCUGAGUGGUGGUGGCGGUGAGGAGUAUGAGUCUAAAAGGACUCAUUCUGAACCUUUGUCGCCCAUUCGUGGUGUAGACCCUGAUAGCCCCCAGAGUAGUGGCUCUCACGGGGCUGACUCGUCUGACGAGGAGAUGGUGGAAGGAGACGAUGGUUCGAUGUGUAGAGUAGUGAACCUUAAGUACGUAAAUAGGCACAUUGCAUUUAGGAAGCAGUAUGGUCUUAGUUCCAUUGAUCAUUUGGAGAUUAGAUUUUUAGGAGAUCGUUUACUUUCUGUUGAGUAUCGACCUAAAAAUCCUUUUUCGACUGUUUUUACCUUGACCCAAUUCCGAGCUGGGCUGAGGCUGCCAUUGUCUUCUUUGGUGGUCGACCUGUUGAAUGCUAUUGGUCGAGCCCCCUACCAGAUGAAUGGCAAUUUCUGGAGCAACAUGAGGGUAAUUGAAGACCUCAACAAGUUGCAUAGGUGGAACGUCACUGUGAAGGAUGUGUUGGACCACUUCUGCUUCAAACGUUCUUCCAAGGCUGACUUUUCCGGCUAUAACAUGCAAGUUAGGCCAGAACGUUUGCCUUUGAUCUAUCCUGUAAGUAGUGAGCCAUGGUGGAAAGAUCCCAUGCUGAUUACUGGGUCGAUCAUUGAGGGAAGCAUCCAGUUGCGUCAUGUGACUAGGAAUGAUGCUCGUAAGUUUCUGGUCGUUAGUCUUAGGAGAUUUUCCUUUUUCUGUACCUGAUUAUGUUGUAUCUUUUUGCAGCGAUCAGGGACGAUCAUCUUGUGAGGAAGAACGAUCUGAGAUCCGCCUUGAACGGUUUUGGUUUCUGGUCUGACGAGCGUAAGAUAAAUUUCUUACCCCACCUGAAGGAGCAUUUUAUUCCUAAAGGUGGUCCGAAAACAGUUGCGGAAGAGCUUCAGAGGAGGAAGUCGCUGAGGAAGGCUCAUAUGUCUGCUGUACAUAAAGGUGAGGCUGGGCGUUCUGCUGGCAGCUCGCGUGCUGGUGAGAAGGAACGAGUUGGUGGUAGCUCGAGGCCUGCUGAAAGAGAGCGGUCUGGUGUCGUUGUUCGGAGGUCGGAGAAGGAACGACCUGUGGAGAAAGAGAGAGUUAGUGGUAGCUCGCGCCCGGUGGAGGUAGUGGCGAGCCCCCUAGUCGUGUCUCCUCCGCUUUCAUUUCCCAAACUGCCUGCCUUUUCUGGGCAGAAGAAGAGGUCUCAUUCAGGUAACCUGAAGCUGUUGGAGCGGCCCAUUGUGCCGACACCUGCUCUUGCCCCGUCUGGCAGAGCUCCUGAGAUGUCUGUUGUGUCCAGGAAGACUGCUGUUCGGCCCUUGGAGAAAGGCAAGGGUGUGUUGUCUGUGUUUCGCCCUGGGCCGUUCGACUAUUUGGACGGCCGUGGGGAGAGGCAUGUCGUAUAUGAUAACGACAGUGCUAUUGACGACCCCUGCGUCGCCCGGGCUGUGAAUGAGGGCAUCGUUCUGGAAGCUGAUGCUCGAGCUGUGAAGUCUCAGACUUUGUUGGUCACCUGCUCGAAGUUAAAUGCGGCGCUGGCUUUGGUGAGUGUUGCCAUAAUUAUUAUCUUUGUUUCUGCUUAGUCGUCGUUGCCUAAUUCUGCUUGCACUUGUAGGUUAAUGCGAGCUUCCAGGAAGUGCGCCUUGUCGCUGAAGUUGGUGCCCGAGCUGAGGUUGAGCUGAAGGAGCUGAACGAGAAGCUUGAGCAGGCGAAGAACGUUGCUGCUGUUGCGGAGUGCAAGGUGAGGGACAGGGAUGCUCAGGUCGCAGCGUUGAAGGAAACCAAUGAGCAGUUAAAGGAAAGUUUGGCUGCUGAUAAGGCUUCUGCUGACCACUGGCAGAACGUAAGCCAGGAAAAUGGUGCAGCGUGGCAGGCCUACUGUGAGCAACUGCAUAAAGCUUUGAUGGGGUCGCCCGAGGGAGAGGAGACGCGAGGUGGGGCCGAAGAAACUUUGGCGCCAGUUCAGGACGCCUUGAUGGGCCCUAGUGACCAGGUCGCCAGUGGCUGUAUGGAAAUUGAUGGUUCCAGCAACCAGCCAGUGCAGCAAUGAACUAGUCCGGGUCCCAGCUUUCUUGUAUUGGGUAACCUUGUGCAAACUUUGCUUCUUGCACUCCUUGUUCUUGCAGUACGUCUUCUUUGGUCUUCCUCUAAGCAGUCCUCUGAGUUUUUUGUGCUCGAAAAACAAUUGUUUGUUGGAGUUGUAUUGAACAACAUUGAAUUUGAUGAGCUUGUAUUUAAGCCGUUCUGAUCAGCUAGUUUCCAGGGAGUCCUGGUAGCUCGUUCAGAAGGCAGGUAGACGAGAUGAAUGGCUGCAAGCAGGACGAAUUGAAACAGUUCUUCUUGUAUGCCUUAGUUUGACUUUGCUUUUACCUGUAAUGGUUAGAAUCUCCUUAAGAAAAAAGAAAAUUCAAUGAUUUACCUUUUAUUGUCAUUCUUGCUACGUUGUCUGCUUGUAUGAGUUUUGCAAACAAGUAGUAACCAUAGUGCUGGACCUGCUGGUGGAUGAGGUCGUGUGCAUGGUUGCUUGAUUGUACAGAGGUCGUGGGAAUGAUAUGAUUAAUGCACCAAGUUAAGUUGCAGAUGUUUGAACUUAACAAAUUAAAAUCAUCAAAGGGACUAGAGUUUUGAUAAUUUGUAGGUCGAGGGGGUAGACCUUUAAGAGCCAUUCAUGUUUGAGCUGAGAUGAAGGCAACAAUGUGUUUUAUCAAUGAAAUGUAGCAGCUCGACGACAAGGGCGUCGUUGUGAGGAGUAACGACCUUGUUGAGGUCGUCCUCGGUGAAAGUGAUGUCGGACUCUUGGCGGGCAGGGAUGUUGAAACGAGCUGCUCGACCAGUGAUGGACUAGACAUGAUGAAGAUGCUCUACUCGUCUCUUCUUCUCUCGAGAGACAGGGGUGUGGUUGGAUUCGUCAAUCAUGUAGACUACAUGACUGUCCGAUUCACUGUCGUUGUCGAUCUUAUGUGCGACCUUCUUGUUGAUUUGGUCGCGUAGGUCUCCUGUUGGACCUAAACGUUGGGAGAGGCUACGCCCUCUGCUGCGGACUGGACUUGCUGAGGCCGUUCUGGCCUUGUUGUGAUUUCUUUUUGGGGAACGGGGAGGCGUUCUGGACUCCUUCCUCACCCGCUUGCCUGUGGAUUCCUCAUUCCUUCCGAGGAUCCAAUUGUUGAGCCUUUUCUCGUCGGCCCAUGUUUGCAGUGCGCGUUUCAGAACGCGACAGUCAUCUGUUUGAUGACACCGUACCUUGUAGACUUUGCAGUACGGUCGUCCAGAUGUAUCCUCCAGCUGUGUGAAGGUAGGAAUCCUGCACCAGUGGUUGUGCUUGAUUUGCUCGAUUAUGUAACCGGCUGGUCUUGUGAACCGGUGAUACUCUCGCUGCUCAAUAGGCAACGACUUACCCUUGAACCUCUUGCCAUCUGACCGAGGUCGCUUGGUUGAGUCAGACUCCACAUUGCUGACUACGUGAUUCUUCUCCCUCCCAGUGAGGGCUUCCUCGAGCUUGAUAUAACGAUCUACCUUUAGGUAGAGCUCGUCCAGGGAUGAAGGUCGCUUCAUGGCUAGCGACUUGUGGAGGUCGGACCCCUGGGUCAGACCGUGAGUGAAUGCGAUGGUUGCAAAGGUCUCGUGCUCCUUUGCAAAAUCCUGAAUUGAGUGUAAUUCAGACUUAAAACGAGCAAAGAAAACGCUUAGUGACUCACCAUCUCGCUGCUUGACUUUGAAGAUGGAAUCGAUGGUGACUGGGCGCUUCUUGUUGUGGAUGUAGAAGAUGACGAAUUGUUUCUCGAGCUCUGCAAAGGAGCUGAUGGAUCCUGAUUUCAAACGGUGAAACCAGUCGAGAGCAGGUCCGGUGAGACUAGACUGGAACAGCAAACAUAAAAGGUGAUCCUCCUUGAUCAGAGGAAGGGAUUUCCGGAAUCCCUUGAUGCGGUCGGUUGGAUAUCCGACUCCGGCAUACUGGUCGAACUUGGGGGCAUUCAGCUUGUUCGGCAAAUCAUGUUCAAGGAUAUCUUUGGAGAAAGGAGACUCCUGGAACUGUUGGAGGGACUGUACAGCAAGUUGCUCCGCAGUGUGGCUCUUGGAAUGGUGAAGGAGAGCCUGGGAGGCUUUGAACUCCGCCAGUUGUUGGCUGAGUUGUUCGAAUUUCUGGUUGGAAUCGUCAGCAUGAACGACUCCAUGUCCGCUAUUUUCACCUUGUUGGGGGUUGGUUUGUGCGGCUUUCAGGCGUGCAUUUUCUUCCUGCAAAAGAGUGAUUCGAGCAUGCAGAUCAUUGAUAGUUAACUCUGGGGUAGUCAUUUGAAUAGAUGACUUUGAGAAGGGUGGGAGGGUUUGGGUUUUUCGAUUUUAUAUCGAAUUCCUUGCAGUCGGCGCCAAAUGUAUUAACCUAUUUCUAGAUUAAUGCACUACUAGGUCAGGUCGCUGGGAGACUUGACCAAAGGGGGAGAUUUUAGGUCGGCGUGGCUGCACUUCGUUGAGAUCGAGAUUGCCUACGUACUCUUAGCUCGAGGGGAUUGAACUUAGAGAUCAAGCCAUCAUAGUUCUGCUCUUAUAGAAGGUAGAAAGGCGUGGAUCGUGGAUCUUGCAGAUUCUCCGUCAUCAUAAUGAGGAUUAAUUGUGUAACGCGCGUGGAUCAUCCCUGUGAAUUAAUUAUGUAAUUGACGAGAAUAUUCUGUGCAUUGAAUGAGAGCGCAUGUGUGUAAGCAGGCCGUUGCUCGUUAUGAGGUCGAGCUGUUGUGGACGAGCUACUAGCAGGUAGAGAUCGUGGCGACCUGGUGGAUGAGUGACUGUGCCACGUGGCUGCUUUUGAUUGGUUGGAGUAUGUAGUACCCCUACAGACACCAUUUGAGGCUCUAUAUGGUAGACCCUGUAGGACUCCAGUGUGUUGGGCAGAGCAUCAUGAUCGUAUUCUUAUGGGAGGACCAAAUAUGGUCAAAGACACUACUAAGAAAAUUGUAUUGGUUCGGGAUAGAAUUGUGGCUGCUCAGGAACGCCAAAAGCGUUAUGCAGAUAAGGGACGGCGACCGAUUGAGUAUCAGGUUGGAGACCCGGUUCUAUUGAAAUUAUCUCCUAUGAAGGGGGUACGACGCUUUGGAAAAAGAGGGAAAUUGGCACCACGUUUCAUUGGACCUUUCACUGUUUUUGAACGUAUUGGGAAAGUGGCUUACAGGAUCGAAUUACCUCCUGCGUUGGCUGAUGUCCAUAAUGUCUUCCAUAUAUCUAUGUUGAGAUUCUUUAAGAAGGAUGACAAGAAAGCACGACAUAAUUAGAAGGAGAUGCAGAUUAAUUUGGCAGACUUUCAGAUAACUCCAGAGAUGUCAUAUGUGGAGAAACCAGUGAAGCUUCUCAAAAGGGAAGAACGAGAACUUCGUAGAAGGAAGAUUCCUUUUGUUCAGGUUCUAUGGACUGGACGUACGGAACGUGAAGCUACUUGGGAACGUGAAGAGGAUGUUCGUCGUGACUAUCCGGUUUUCUUCGAUAAGGUAUGUGUGAAUCUCGAGGACGAGAUUCCUAUUUAAGGGGGGUAGAUUGUAAUACCUUGUAUAUUCACCUGUUAGCAUGUUUUAGCAAUUGCUUGUUGACUGGUAUAACAUGUUAUAUGAUAUGCUUAGGUGGCAGUCCAAAACCUGUUCACACUCAAGACCAAAUCUGUUGGUGUGUUCACACUAGGAUGAGAAUCGACUUAUGUUGUUGUUAUUAACUUAACUUAGUUAGUAAGGAAUUGAACCGACUUACCUUAGGAUAUAUAUAUAUAUAUGCUUAUAACAUGUUUGCUGAUAUACAUCAACAGAAAAUAACCUGCUUUUGAUAGUGUUCACACUAUAUACUUCAAUUUUGAAAAAGAAGUUGCAGAAAUCUAUCAGAAGAAGAAAAACUAUUUAUAAGUUAAAGAUCUCGAUACUUGGAAUCUCUAAUUUGCGAAUUUCUCGUUAAUAGCUCGUUGUUGUAGUGUUUUCUUCGCGAAGCGAGGUAAGUUACAUGAUUUGAUAUCUUCUCUUGCUUUUAGGAGAUAGAUGAGGUUAGUGGGUGUAAGAGUAUACUAUAGUUAUAGUCCAAUUUCGGUUAUGCGUAUUAAUUGAAUUUGUUUGAUUUUGAUUUCAUAAAAUUGAUAUCAUUAUUCGGUUAUUGUUGGAAAAUUGAUAGGAAAGCAUGUUAGUGUGUUUAUUUGAUUCUAACAUGAUAUUGAUUGUCAUAAAUCCUAAUUGACGCUGCAGUAAUGUAUUAGAUUAUUAGUGACAUUAUUCAUGUAUAAUUUUCAUGCUAAAUGUGAGAUUGCAUAUUUUGAAAUUUAUGCGUAUUGAUAGUUAAGAUGCAUUCAAUUUGAAUGAAUGGAUUGAUUUGUGUGAAAAGGGCUUUCGAGCCAGAGACUGUUUUGAACAGUCUGAAUUUGGGGAGACGUCCCUGGAGUGUACGGAGAGUAUUGCUCGGUGUCGCAUACAGAAGUACACUCAGUGGUGCUUUGUCACCAACCUUAUGAGGCUGCGGAGAGUAUUGUUCGGUGUCGCAUACAGAUGCAUGGCUGGGGUACUGCGGUACCAGAUGAUUUGAUAUCAGAUGGAUGGGCUUUAUGCCAUAUGUGUGAUGAUUAGAUUGUUUAUAUAAUUGUUUAUUGAUUCGAGUUGAUGGAAUUGAUAUAAUGAUUAUAAUUGAUACAUGUAUUGUAUUGCUAUAUUUUAUUGGGUGCGCUGAUUCCGUCCCUGGGAUCAAGAUCGGAUAUCAAGUUGUGUAACUUGCUAGCGUUUAAUCGCUCAUUUUUCCCUUCCUUCCAGGAAACAGGUAAAGCGAUUCUCGGAGCGUGCGAAGAGGAUCUAGUUGGAGAUAGUUAGCUAAGCAGGUGCUCUAAGUUGUAGUUAGUCUUUUGUUAUCAGUGUAGCCCUUGGGGCAAACACAGUAUGUUAUCCUUUCAGUUGUGUGUUUUUCUUUCAGUUCAACCCUUGUAUAUAUGUAUAUACAGAGUUCGGCUUGAAUAAAUCUUCCGCUGUUGUUUUGUUCGAAUUUUGUUCGUGUGAUAUUUUAUUAUUCUGUCCUUACAUGGAUAUUGGAUUUGGAGCUUGGCGUCACGUGGCAGUAGUGUGAACCUACGGUUCAUGGUGGACAUAUGGAGAACAUUACGACUCUGGAGUCUAGUCUUAGCCUGAUCAACUAGGAUUGGAUUUUGGGGGCGUCACAACAACUCAGCAUAAACAUGAUUGGCAUCCAUAUCCUUCGAUUCGUCAGAACUAGGCCACCCAGUCUCUGUCACAAUCAAGGGUAUAUUUUCAUGACCUUGUAAUGCCAUUGCAGUAAGGACUGAAUCAACCAUCAUAUCGAAGAGAUUUCGAUAUCGAACUCCAGUCAACAAAUCAUCACGAAAAACAAAGGGAUGUUCUUGAAAUAUUGCAUACCCAAUCGUUAUCUCAGGGUUAUUCCGAUACAAAUUGUAAGGAUACAAAUUAAUCAAGAAAGAAGAAUUCGUCUCAGACAAGAAACCCAAAAGUAGUUUCAUCAAAGAUUCAGCUAAAGGUUGUUGAAAUUCUGCAGAAGAAGGUGGGAAAGCAGUAGUAAUGACAUUAAUGAAUGAGAAAGUAGUUGAAACUUUAAUCUUAUCAAUUCCAAGUUCAUCAAGAGCUUGACGAACAUUUUCCAUUGCAGAGAGAAGAAAAUCAGAAUGAUUUGAAUCCGAAGUAGCUUCUUCUUCUUCUUCUUCUUUUUCUUUUUCAUCAAGAACAUUGUUACCAACAGAAAUUGUUGAAAUAUGAACUCUAGGGUAAAAAGGGGUAACAUGAUGAUUAAGCCAAUGAAGAGCUUCAGAUUGAUUUGAAGCAAUUUGUGUAAUUAAUGAAUUUGGGAUUGAAAGAAGAAGAGAAAUACCAGAGUAAGAAAAACUUCGAAUAAUCUCUGGAUCAGAAUCAGGUAAUCUAAUUGAGUUGAUUUUGAGUGAUUGAAGAAGUGAAACGAUUUGAUGUGUAGUAGUUCCGAUCCUCCUCUAUUGUUGUAUGUAAUUCCAAUUGAUGGAUGAUUUGAUUCAGUUCCAGCAGAUGGAACUAAGAAUGAGAAGAAGAUGAUGAUGAAGAAGAUGAACAAGAUUGACAGAUUCUUGGAAGAAGAAGAAGAAGGAUACAUGUUUUACUUUCUUGAUUCAGAGUUUUCAAGUUUGUGUGUUUGUGUGUUUUCUUCUAUCUCUUUCUCUGGAAUUUGUUGCAGAAAGAAGAUUUUAGAAUGUGCAAGGGUGUGAAGUGUGCACUCUAGUGAAGGUUUAGAAGGUGCGUAAUGCGCAUCGUGCGUACGUUAAGCGCCUUCAGUUUGUUGGAGUUUGUUAUUUUCGGCGGGAGAGAAUCACAGCCGUUGAUCUUUGCUGCACGUGUUCCGGAAUUCUGUUCUAUGACCCACACAACCCAAGCCCAUAUUUAAGCCCAAACAGUUCCCUUGCGCCAUAAACCAUUUUCUUAGUUCUUACACAAAAACUUUUUUUUUCGAAGAAAGCCAAAAGAAAAGUUUGUGACUGAAAACAAAAUGAGUGGUUUCAAGCUUUUAGGCUGGAUUUCAAAACCGCCAAUUAUUUUCAACUUUGUUUAUAAUAUAAAACCUGAAAACCACUUUUCCUUUCAAUCCAAUUCUUCUAACAAACAAACCCACCUAUUAUUUUCUUCUUUACUUGGUCCAUCAUGGAUUCUUCUUCUUCUUCUUCUUCUUCUUCUUCUUCAAAUCAUAGAUUGUUUAACAGAGAAAGAACACUACAUCAGAUCCUUGGUGAAGGUUUCAGUAAGUGAAAUUGAUUAGGAUUUUUAAUUAUGUUAAUUAGAUGAUCAGAUCUUACUUUGGGGUUUUAAUGAAUAAUGAUGGUAUUUAUUUUGUUGUUUAUUGAUUUAAUAGUUGCAGAUGUGAUGUUAUGGAGAAGAAAAAAUUUUAAGUGUGGGGAUACUAGUGGUAACACUUGCUGCUUGGGUGGUUUUUGAGAAAUCUGGUUAUACUUUGCUUUCACUGGUUUUUAAUGUUCUGUUGCUGUUAAUUACUAUUCUUUUUCUUUGGGCAACAUCUGCAGAGAUUCUCAACAGGUAUUAUUGAUAACUAUGUUACCUAUUGUACUACAAUGUGAGUAGUGGAGGAGUUCGAUUUAUAUGAUCUCGUCAUCCCGUAUAAAUGCUGGUUAUACAGAAUAUAUAUUGAAUGAUAUGAACUUUGUUAGUGAAUCUAGCUACCAAUUUUAUUGUUCUUGGUAACCUGUUUCUUUUCAGCUUUUGUCGAAAUUUAAAAUAUAUCGAUAAAAUCUCAGACUACAUUAUCUUGAACUCAAUUUGGAAUGUACAGUAUUUGCUUCAAAGAAUAGCUAAUUCAUUGCUGAGCCUAUGGUCCCUUAAAAGUUUGUUUGUAGAGAUAGAUCAUAGAACUCUAUAUAGUGAAAUCAUUGCUUAUAGAUCCUUUGUUUACUGGUUUUCGCGUACAUUCAAACUACAUUCCAAAAAUGAUAAAGUUAUAAGUCUCCUCAAUAGGGUUUGUUUCUCAUAUUUUACACGAUUUCUGAGAUAGCGAUAUUAACUUAUUGUUGCAUAGAGGUUAAGUGGGCUUAAUGCCUGAAAAUCACAUUAUAACAAGAACAAUUUCUGUAAAAGAAUCUCACACUUCUAUACUCUGGUCUUAGCACCAAGAGUUAUUACAUGUUAGAGCUAUAAAGAAUCUGGACAUGUAAGUAGUCAGUGUAGUUGGACGCACGGGUCAGGGGUUCGAUUCCCCAAUUAGACAAUUCUGCCUUAAGUGGGAGGUCAUGGCGGUGGAUAGCUGUGCUAGCCUCCCCAGGGAUUUAGUCCCAGUAAACAAAGCGAAUGAGCCUGUGGCUCAAUGGUAGCACCCCUCUCAUUGAGCCAGUCUCAAUACUGAUAUUAACCAAUGUGUUUCCUUGUAGCAAAAAGGAAAAUAAGAUUUUUGACUGUAUUUUUUCAUUUUUUUUUUCUCGUUGUUUUUCAUAUUCUUGCAGUAAAUAGUUAGUUGUGGAGUGAAAUGUGCAAAUUUAGGUGUCUUCAUCCAGAAACUUAUUGUCUGAAUUGAUCUUGAUUACAGACCUCCUCCUCCUCUACCAGAUCUACAGUUGUCAGAAGAGUUUAUAAAUGAAGCAGCGGCUUUCAUUCGUUCUCGCAUUAACGCAUUGCUCUUAGUUUCUCGAGAUAUAUGUCUGGGAAAGGACUCGAAGAUGUUUUUCAAAGUUGCAGGGUGUAUGUGGCUAAUCUCUGUUGUUGGGGGCUGGACUGAUUUCCUUACUUUGGGUUACACAAGUAGUUUCUAAACCUCACUUUAUAUAAUGCUGUUGUAUUUCAUAACGUAUAAAUACCUAAACCUACCAUGAAGGCAGUAGACAUAAAAUAUUCAGGACUGCAAAAUUUAGGUUGUACACUAAUAUAUUGGAACUAAUGUAGGAAGGCCAGCAGAUUGAUCUUUUUCUUCGUUGAGACUUUAUGUUUUGAUGCUUCCUACUUUAUAUAGGUCUAGUUUCUGUCUUUCAGUUAUGCACUUACCAUUUUUUGGUGCUACCGAUGACUGUAUGGCAGGUCUUGUGUUUCUUCUUACUGUUCCUGCACUGUAUGAGAAAUAUGAGGAUCAAGUUGACAGAUAUGUGAUAUUGGGAUAUAGAGAAUUGCAGAGGCUCUACGUAAUAUUAGAUCAACGGUGUCUCAAUAAAAUCAGAAGUUUGAUAUUGGAGAAGAGGAAACUCAGCUAAUUCUAUUUUCCCUCUGCUUUCUUACUUAAAGAGUAGAGCUCCCACUUUAUAAAAUACGAGUGCUCGGGGAAAUGAAUUUUUCUUUCUCACGUUUCCCCUUUCUUUACUUUUUGUCCCUCCCACGUUUUUUCAUGGCUGUUGGGAUUGUGGUGCUAGAGUUUGGCUGAUGUGGUUUGUGUUGAUAUAUGGAUAAGUCAAAAACAUAAUAAAAUUCUUCUCAUUAAGUAGUGCAGGCAGCAAAUUGUUUUUAUUUUUUUGGGAUAACAAGGCACCAUGUUGUUAAUAUGCCUUUUCCUCUUCUUAUGGGACAAGUAAAUUGCGCAUAUUUUAUUGAUAUAACAUGAAGCAUUGGCAUCAUGUUUAUACCACUACCACAGCUGUAAACCCAACAAAAACAUCCCUUCACCACAACUAGUAGUGCAGAUUGUAGUUUCUACAGUAGACAUAGGAGCAACACCUGCCUGAAAUGCUUCCAAAUGGAGCUCAGAUCCCUCAAUCAGAGGACAGGCAUGUUCUCUCUGCAGCAGCUGAUCCACCAAGCUUCAAGUAUUGCCAGCAGCUUCUUAUCCUCUAAUAAUAGCUGUAAUAACAUGGACUCCUGAUACUUAAAUGAGGGUGUUCAAUGUUCAUCUCUACUCCUCGAAAGUGUUCAUCCAAAUACAAUACAUCUAUAGUUAGGAGCACCUAAACAUCUUCUUGAGAGAUGUCAGAGUCUUGAUCAGGACCACAAUUAGCCCAAAACAGUUUGUGUUAUCAAGAAAGUUGGAGCAUAAUUUCAUACUGCAUUUAUAUGGAAUCCAUUUAGAGUUGCAUAAAUUGAAAAAUGCAUCAAACUUAAAUGCAUCAAACUUAGGGGAGAAAAGCAAAAAGAUUUUGAGCCUGUCAGACAACCGUGUGAACAUCUCAGCCACCAAGGCAGCUGAGAACGAUCCUCUACAACCAGAAGAUUCACAGCUUGAAUCUCGGCCAUUAAUCACGCUCUGAUCACACGGUCCUGGUUCAUCCACCAAGCUUUGGUUACCGUCUCCUUUUUACUAAAGGAUACAGAGGCACUUCCCUAUAGAACAGAUCCUGUUCAA